CAAGAAGGCCAAUUGCCCCCUGUUGACAAUUUCAGCACCGGUGAAGGCGCCAGCNGAUCACGGAUGGCCGGCAGGGCAAGGCAGAGGCUCCAGUGGUGAGGAGCCGAGCAUUCCAGCUGACUACCGAGGAGGCACACGCCGCGCCCGAUGUGGUGACGAGUAUGAUUCUUUCCUUCUAUCUUUUGUUUUAUGAUGUUAUGAUAUUGAUAUGUGCUCCGUGUGUAUAUAUAUGCAUUAGGAUCGUUCCAUGUGAACGGCAUCCCAGUUCAGGUAUUGUUCGACUCGGGUGCAUCCCGAUCGUUCGUUUCUCUUGCGCUUAGCAAGCGGUUUCAUGAGACUUCAGGCGAGUUAGAUUGCCCGUUAGAGGUAGAGAUUGCUGAUGAUCGAUCGGUGCGAGCAUCGAUGGUGUUUCGAAAUUGCGUUCUGCGACUGUUUGAGGAGCGUUACCUGGUGGACUUGGUUCCCAUUCCAUUGCGUAGGAACAAGGUGAUUAUUGGCAUGGAUUGGUUGAGCCCUAAUGGGACGGUGAUAGACUGUGCGCAGCAGCUAGUGCGAGUCAGGACCCCGAGCGGGGGAGAGUUAGUGAUUCAUGGCGAAAGGCCGCAGUGUGGACCCACUGUGUGUUCAGCAGCGAGGGCUAGGCGCUAUCUUCACCAGGGAUGCACAGGAUAUGUCGCGUAUGUGAUGGAUACCCGGGAGGCGGGUAAAGCGACAGUGAGCGAGGUAUCGGUGGUUCUAGAUUUUGCAGAUGUUUUCCCGGAGGAGCUACCUGGGAUACCUCCGGAGCGACAGGUGGAGUUCAGGAUUGACCUUAUCCCCGGUGCGGCACCGAUAGCCAAAGCACCGUAUCGGUUGGCUCCUACGCAGCUGCAGGAGCUGCUAGACAAGGAAUUCAUUCGUCCGAGCAGUUCGCCUUGGGGAGCCCCGAUCCUAUUUGUGAAGAAGAAGGAUGGGUCGCAUCGGAUGUGUAUAGAUUACCGGGAGUUGAACAAGGUGAUGGUGAAGAACCGUUACCCACUCCCGAGGAUUGAUGACCUCUUUGACCAGCUUCAGGGAGCAUCUUGGUUCUCCAAGAUUGACUUGCGUUCGGGUUAUCAUCAGAUGAGAGUCAGGGAGGAGGAUGCGCAGAAGACCGCGUUUCGGACACGUUAUGGCCACUAUGAGUUUGUGGUGAUGUCGUGUGACAACCGUCAAAUUCUGGUCAAUUCAAAGUCAAAUAAAGUCAACAAGUCAAACCGGUCAACUCAACUAACCCUUGUGUACUUGGACUUACAUUCAGUAUUUACUAAACAACUCGCUAUUCUGAUAAGAAAACAUAAAUCGAAAAGUACGUACACCUAGAUCUCCUUAACCUAAAAACUGUAGUACGUGGCGAGCCAAACCGAUAAAACAAUGAUGCAUACUCAUCGGGAGUGUGUAAGAUCCUUAAACAAGGCUUAACAGGGUUUACGAACCAUGCGUUGCGAUACCGGACACUCACAACUGUCCCACAUGGAACCUCUCUCAAUCAUUUUCACUCUAUCUCUCUCUAUGUCAAAUCUCUCUCAAAUAUCUCUCUGUAUGAGAAAUCUCUCCAAGAAUGUCAAAUCUCUCCCAAAUCUCUCCAAGUAUGAGAAAUCUCUCUCAAAUAUCUCUCUAUAUGAGAAAUCUCUCCAAGAAUGUCAAAUCUCUCCCAAAUCUCUCCAAGUAUGAGAAAUCUCUCCCAAAUCUCUCUCAAAUAUCUCUCUGUAUGAGAAAUCUCUCCAAGAAUGUCAAAUCUCUCCCAAAUCUCUCCAAGUAUGAGAAAUCUCUCCCAAAUCUCUCUCAAAUAUCUCUCUAUAUGAGAAAUCUCUCCAAGAAUGUCAAACCUCUCCCAAAUCUCUCCAAGUAUGUGAAAUCUCUCUCAAAUAUCUCUUUGUAUGAGAAAUCUCUCCAAGAAUGUCAAAUUUCUCCCAAAUCUCUCCAAGUAUGAGAAAUCUCUCCCAAAUCUCCCUCAAAUAGUUCCCGUAACUUUUUAGAAUCAUUCGGGUCAUUCCGGCCCUUAACCGGGUCAAAAACGGCUUANACCAGAGACCGAGCCUCUGAUGGCUAAGAGACCAGAGACCGAGCCUCUGAUGGCUAAGAGACCAGAGACCGAGCCUCUGAUGGCUAAGAAACCAGAGACCGAGCCUCUGAUGGCUAAGAGACCAGAGACCGAGCCUCUGAUGGCUAAGAAACCAGAGACCGAGCCUCUGCCUCUGUCGCUUCUCGUUCUGCUCCUCUCGGUCUCUGCCCGUCUCUCUGUCUCUUCUCUCCUCUCUGUCUCUCUCUGUUCUCUUCUCUCCUCUUUGUCUCUACUUCGCGCCUCUCUGAUCCUUCCCACCUCUCGGUUCCCUCUCUCUCCUUUCUCCCCCUCUCGGUUCCUUCCCUUCUCUCUUCUUCCCUCUCGGUUCUGCCUCCCUCUCUCUCGGUUCAGCAUAAGAAGGCCGAGCCUAGGCCAUAAUUCGCAUAUUUGUCACUUUCAGCCCAUUUUUGAUAUUUUUAACAUUUUAAGCCCGUUUUUCGUGAUUUUAAAGCGGGAUUUUCUCCAGAAAUUAUGUUUUAACAUAAUAAACCCUAAAUAUUCAUAAUUUAAACAUAUUUUGAUGAAAAUCAUUAUUUAAAUAAUGAAAAUCAAAUGGGUGAAUUAUUAAAGGUGGAGUGUUGACUUUGCCUUAUCCAAAGUCACAAGCAACCACCCCACACCNCCCACACCCACUCUAUGACCAGCCACACCUCCCCACCUUACCUAGGUCACAUCAAUGUUCUUUCCACUCAAUUAUCACUCUUUCCCAUGUUUUUGAGAGCUGAAUAUUCAUCCUCUCUCCUCACUUCUCUCAUUUACUCUCAUUUCACAAGAAGAUCAAACUUUUUCCUCUCUCACUUUCUCUCUCUAGAAAUUCGAGAUUCAAGGGCUGAUCUUGAGUUUUUCCUCCACAUUUGGUAAGCAUAAUCCAUUCUCUUUAUGAUUAUCUCACUUAUUUCCACUCAAAUCAUGGAUAUCUUACACAAACUUCAUCAUAUUUGUGUUAGAUCUUCAAAUCUUCAAGCAAUCUUCCCUAGUGUUCUUGAGUUGAACACCCCUUCUCUCCAUCAUCCAUCCACUGAAAUCACUCAAGGUGAGUUCAUACCCCUACAUUUUCAUGUUUUCUCAAGUUUUUAAGGGGGGAAUACAAGUUAAAACACUAAGAACAUAACUAAAUUUCUCUAACAGCCUUCAUUAGAAAAGUUCAACUCCAUUCACGGACUGUUUUGGGUAUCUUACACAUUUUUGUUUUCAAAACUGUACAAGGUUCAAAUAGUUCAAGUUCUUAGCUUUAAAAUGGCUACUUGCACAUCUCCAUACGAUUUUUCUACAAUUUAUGGUGAUUUUUACAAAACUGUCUAUCAUUUCAAACAACAAUCCGGACCAGUCUGUGAUUUUGGACUUAUUCACUCAAGUUGGAGGUCAUUAAAAAUCGUGAUAAAAAUUAUGAGUAAACUAGACACAUUUUUUGAACUCUCAGAAUUUACGGAUCUAGUUUUCGACUUCGUAUGAUUUUUCUAUGAUUUUUCCAAAAACAGGGCAGAAUGGCUAAAGUUAGCCAAUAGCAUGUAAAUAUCAUAACACUUUGUAUUAUGUUGAGCAAAGUGUAUAAUCAUAAGUUCUAAUAUUUGAAUGUGUUUCCUUGUUAGUUUAUCAUUAUGAACUGAAACUAAGUCAUUCAUAUUAAAUAUUAUUCAUUCAUUUAGAACACGUAUUAUUUAACUAUAAAAAGUAUAGUUUAGUAAAUUCAUAACACUAAUACAUUUACAUAAAAGAGUUUAUACAUAUUACAUACAUUUUAGAUAAACUAUAAUAGGUAUAGUUUAUGAUACAUCACUCAACACACUCGUACAAAAAGGGGUACAAAUACAAAGUGCCGGGUUUAUAUACAAAAAGGGGUACAAAUACAAAGUGUCGGGUCUCUAUACAAAAGGGGUACAAAUACAAAGUGCCGGGUUUAUAUACAAAAAGGGGUACAAAUACAAAGUGCCGGGUCUCUAUACAAAACGGGGUACAAAUACAAAGUUUCGGGUCUCUAUACAAAAGGGGGUACAAAUACAAAGUACCGGGUCUCUAUACAAAAAGGGGUACAAAUACAAAGUGUCGGGUCUCUAUACAAAAAGUGGUACAAAUACAAAGUGCCGGGUCUCUAUACAAAAAGGGGGUACCGAUACAAAGUACCAGGUUUAUUUAAGAUAGUUAUCAUGAUAUUAAAACUAUACUUCAUCUAGAAUUGUUAGACUUCAACUAUAGUCGAUGAGCGUAUAUGUUUGAGUCAUAUAAGGAUUUAGUCUUGAUUGGCCUAGAAUUGGUGGUGCCCGCCUCAUCUCCUGUUCCUCGUUGGGUUGUGGACCUAGGGCAGACCCACUAUAUUCAACGUUUUAUCUAAUUUAAACCUUAUAUAACUUAUAUACACUGGACGAUUAUAGAGGAACUCUACGAGUUAUUCUAGGGUUCAUUAAUGCAUCAUAUAGGAACAUUUCUAUUCACACUUAACUAAGAAAAUAUUGGAUUUUCUGGAAAUCAAACUAUAUCGAUUUUUCAAGGAAAACGGUUUCUACUUCAAACAAAACUCUUAUGAACUCACCAACUUAAUUGUUGACACUUUUCAAAACUACUUGUAUUCUCAGGAAAUCAGUGAAACAGGAAAACUUCAUCGCUUUGAGGAUGGGACGUUAAACCGUCAACAAUUUAUUUUUGUCAUCAUAAUGUAAUUGACUUUGAAUCAUGUAAACAUAUACUUUGGUGUAACUUUUUCAAUUAUAUUUAUGAUGGUUGUAUUUACUUUGAACACUAUUAUAUCCGUUGUUGUGAUACUGCACAUGAAGUCAUCCACCCCCGGACGUUUCCGCCAUCCUUGGUUUGGGGGUGUGACAUGCCGUUUGGGCUCAUCAAUGCUCCUGCCGCGUUCAUGGAUCUCAUGAACUGCGUUUGCAGACCGAUGCUGGAUCGGUCUGUGAUAGUCUUUAUCGAUGACCUCUUGGUUUAUUCCAAGACUCAGGAGGAGCAUGAGGAGCAUCUGAGGGAGGUGUUGGAGACCCUGAGGAGGGAGAGCUUGUAUGCCAAGUUCUCCAAGUGUGAGUUUUGGUUGCGCGAGGUGCAAUUUCUUGGACACCUCGUAAACCAGAACGGGAUUCUGGUCGAUCCGGCCAAGGUCGAGGCCGUGAUGAGAUGGGAGGUUCCGAAGUCUCCAUCCGAGAUUCGGAGUUUCCUGGGAUUGGCGGGCUACUAUCGUAGAUUUAUCCAGGAUUUCUCCAAGAUAGUCGUACCCCUGACGCGGCUGACGAAGAAAGCUGUGGUCUUUCGGUGGGGACCCGAGCAGCAGGCUGCAUUUGAGAUGCUGAGAUAGAGAUUGUGUGAGGCGCCGAUCCUAGCCCUGUCAGAGGGCGUAGAGGAUUUUGUGGUUUACUGUGAUGCGUCCAUUUCAGGGUUGGGCGCAGUUCUGAUGCGGAGGGGGCAUGUCAUUGCCUACGCUUCGAGGCAGCUCAAGUCUCACGAGGCGAACUACUCGACGCACGAUUUGGAGUUGGGGGCGGUGGUCUUUGCCCUCAAGAUUUGGCGACAUUACCUCUACGGGGUUCGAUGUACCAUCUACACGGACCACAAGAGUUUGAGGUACCUCAUGGAUCAGCCGAAUCUGAACAUGAGGCAGCGUCGGUGGUUGGAUGUGGUGAAGGAUUAUGAUUGCGAGAUCCUUUACCACCCGGGGAAGGCCAACAUGGUGGCCGAUGCGCUUAGCCGCAAGGCGGCGCCGAUCAGGGACGUAUGCAUGAGGAUGACCAUAGUGACUCCCCUAUUGGAGCGAAUUCGGGAGGCUCAACAAGAGGCUAUCAAGGAGGAGCAUCGGAAGGGCGAGCGCGUGGUGGGUCAGGUGUCCUCCUUUGAUUAUGAUAGUCGGGGACUAUUGACACUACACCAUAGGGUGUGGGUGCCGUAUCACGGGGGCGUGCGCCAUAUUUUGAUGGAUGAGGCGCACAAGUCCCGAUUCUCUAUUCAUCCCGGGGCGACGAAGAUGUAUAGGGAUCUCCGUCUGGACUAUUGGUGGCCCUGCAUGAAACGGGAUGUGGCAUGGUACGUUGAGCGGUGCUUGACCUGCAGGAAGGUCAAGGCCGAAUAUCAGAGACCGCAUGGUAAGAUGCAGCCGUUGGACAUUCCACUGUGGAAAUAGGAAGAUAUCACCAUGGAUUUUAUUACAAAGCUUAUCAGGACCGCGCGUGGAGUGGAUUCGAUUUGGGUCAUCGUGGACCGACUGACCAAGAGUGCUCACUUUAUUCCGAUUCAGGAGAGCAUAUCGGCCGAUAAAUUGGCCGAUAUCUAUAUCAGGGAGAUCGUGGCGCGGCACGGGGUGCCGGUAUCGGUGAUCUCGGACAGGGAUGUGCGUUUCACUUCCAGAUUUUGGAAGAAGUUUCAUGACGAGUUGGGCACUCGCUUGCAUUUUAGCACCGCCUUUCACCCGCAGACGGAUGGUCAGAGUCAACGGACCAUCCAGACUUUGGAGGACAUGUUGCGGGCGUGUGUGUUAGCUUUCGGUGGUAGCUGGGAUACCUAUCUUCCCUUUGCUGAGUUCUCAUACAACAACAACUACCACGUGAGUAUUGACCGACCACCAUUCGAGAUGUUGUACGGGCGGAGGUGCAGAACCCCGAUAUGUUGGGGUGAAGUUGGCCAGAGAGUCAUGGGAAGCACCGAGGUGGUGCUCGAGACGACCGAGAGGAUCCAGCAGGUUCGGAGCAGACUUCAGACUGCUCAGAGUCGGCAAAAAAGUUACGCCGACAAGCGUCGAUCCGACUUGGAGUUCCAAGUCGGGGAUAUGGUUCUCCUGAAAGUGUCGCCUUGGAAAGGCGUCAUUCGAUUCAGAAAGCGGGGCAAGUGGGGCCCAAGAUUCAUCGGACCGUUCAGGGUUGUAGCCCGGGUGGGAAAGGUGGCAUAUAGGCUGGAUCUGCUAGCCAAGCUCAGUCAGAUCCACAGCACUUUCCAUGUUUCUCGACUGCGGAAGUGCCUAGUGGACGAUUCAGCGGUAGUACCGUUGGAGGAUAUUCAGGUGGAUGACAGCUUGAAUUACAUUGAGCGCCCAAUCGCAAUACAGGAAGUCGAAGGAAUUGAGGAACAAGAAGGUAGAACUAGUGAAGGUGCAAUGGCAGCACCGCAAGGGUUCGAAAUGGACUUGGGAGCCGAUGGACGAGAUGAUGGAGCAUUACCCCGAGCUGUUUCAGGAUCGAGGAGCAGACUUCGAGGACGAAGUCUAAAAUAAGUGGGGGAAAUUUGUAGCACCUGGUUCCUGGUAUGUAAAUCUUAUUUGAGUAUUUCCCAUUUUAGCCUUGGACUCGGGGAGUCAUAGGUCCGACUCGCCGAGUAGGGACGAGACCCAGGACACGUUUAAGUUGGCGACUCGGCGAGUCCAUAUCCUGGACUCGGUGAGUCACCGUUGUUGGAUGAAACCCUAAGUUUCAGGGGUUUGCACCCUAUUUAAACCUCAUAUCCGCCCCUUGCCAGCCCCCAUUCACCCCCAGAGCUCCCAACCCUCGUCCUAAGCUUGUUCCUUGAGAGUUUGAGGCUCUUGUGUGUAUUCUUGAAGGUUUUGAGGCAAGAAGGGGAAGAAGAUCAAGAGGAAGGAGAUCCAUCCAAGCAUCAUUGUGUUUUUCAGCUGUUUCAUUGAGGUAUAUCUCAUUUUCCCCCUGUUUCUAUGCUUAAGAUUUCAUUUAAGACACUCUUGAGCAAUUCCCCAAGCUUGUUUGUGCAUAAUAUUUCGUAAUAAGUGGAUUGGCCUUUAGAUCUAGGCAAGAUUGAGCUCCAGGAGCUCAGAUCUGUUAGCUUUAUGGACCCAUGUGGCUUGUUCAUCUUAGAUCUACCCUUUUGAGGCAUUUUGAACCCUAAAAUCCAUAUUGGUGAAUAUCUACAUGUAAAGUUGGAAACUUUACGUGUGAUUCGUGUCUUAGAAGCCCAGAUCUAUGAAUGGCAUGGACUGAAAUCGAACAAAUCGGUGUAUUUAAUGGAUGCAUGGCGACGACUCGGCGAAUCGUUCAUGUGACUCGGCGAGUCUGCUCGCGAGUCACUGAAUUGGUCCCUUUAUGUUGUAUCGAGUUUGAGCUGUGAGUCAUAGGGGGUGACUCGGUGAGUUGGAAGCUGAACUCACCCAUGGUAAGACUCGGCGAGUCAUGGCCUGGCUCGGCGAGUCCAAGGCAAUCUUCAUAGGUCAAGAACAGACUCGGCGAGUUGUUCAUACAACUCGACGAGUCUAAGCAUGAGUGUUCAUCGGAUGAAGAUGAACUCGACGAGUUGUUCAUACAACUCGGCGAGUAGGACGAAGAACUUCAAUGUCAGUUUAGAAGAAGAACUCGUCGAGUCAUAGCCUAACUCGACAAGUAGAAUCAGGGACUCAGGAGAAUCGUCUGGAUAGGAACUCGGCGAGUUGGAGAGCCAACUCGGCGAGUCGGGUCAACUGAAAGUUGACUCUAAUUUUGACUUAGGGCUAGACCAGGGUUUAAAUGGUCAUUUUACCCAAAGGACAGUUAGUAGUGUGUGAUUGAGUAUGUUGUGGGAAUUGCAGUCGGAGAAGUUCCGGAGCAGCAGCAGCGGUCAGUCAGUUCCCGAUCAGUUUAGCAGUUGCUUUGAGGUGAGUUGCCUUCCAGUAGCGGUGGGUCUAAGGCCAUAAUGUCGGCCCACCAGUAGGAGAUGUGUGAAUAGAUGAUUGUCUUUGUGAUAUUCAUCUAGGGUUUCUAGACUAUGUGAUAUAUGUGUUAUGUGGUAGUAGUAGGGGGUGAAAUAGUCCCCAGUAUCCGGUCGAAAGGACCGAAGGGGAGGCCAGCACCCAGAUAUGCUAGGCAGUAUCCGGUCGAAAGGACCGAAGGGGAGGCCAGCACCCAGAUAUGCUAGGCAGUAUCCGAUCGAGAAGACCGAAGGGGUAGGUCGGGCACCCAGAUAUGCCCGACAAAUUUAUGUAUGUUAUGUGACCAUGUGGUAUGUGGUACAGUGGGGGAACUCACUAAGCUUUGUGCUUACGUUUUACAGUUUUGUUUUCAGGUACCUCUUCUUCGAAGGGGAAGGAGCUGGCGCGGUAGCGACACAUCAUGCACACACUCUGGUUUCCGCAUUUACGAGAUUCACUGGGAUUUGUACUCUGAUAUUUUGAUGGGUUGUAUGGUUUGGCUUUUAAACAUGGUUGCGUUGUGUUGUGGUUUGAACAAACAAUGUUUUAAUUAUUAAUGUUUUCUAAACUAAGGUUUUUAAAACGAAAUUUUUGGACGUGAAAAUUGGGUCGUUACAAAAGAAGUUAUGACCAAUCGAAGAUCCGCAACAAAACCGGCAAAACGCUGGAAGCAUAAAAAAAAAUUCAAUAAAAUACUUUUUAGCCUUAACUAUCUAAACGAAAGUCGUAGAAUACGUUAACCAGUGAAAGUUUGUAAAAAGAACGUCCAAAUCUGAGUUCGUAUGAAAAAGUUAUAAUUUUUCUAAGUUUCGACAUAGCGGUACACAACCCGAAAUUCAAAAUAAAGAUCGAACGAUAUUUAGCCGACACAACCUAAACGAGAAUCGAAUGUCUCGUCAAUAGUAGUACAACGGUAGAAAGACAUACGAAAAUGGACUUCGGAUGAAGAAGAUAUGAAUUUUUAACGGAUUUUUCUAUCCCGGUCUGUUAAAAAUAAUAAUAUUAAAAAUAAAGUCAAAAUUAGCCGACAAAGUCCAAACGAGAGUUGUAGAUUAUAUUCCCGCCUACGUGUGCAUAUAAAGAACGUCAAAAACGGAGCUCGUAUGCGAAAUUUAUGAAUUUCGGAAGAAUUUGGCUCGAAAACCGAGAAAUCCUUAAUAUCCGGGAAUUUUCGCAAGGCUGGGAUCCGGACACGUCACCCUGCACCCGCAGCCGCCUAGUGUCCGCCUCGUGUCACCCUCUGAUUCGUCCGAAGCCGAGGUCCAAUGGGAGACCGACGUGCAUUGCAUCGGUGGAGUCUCCGAGCUCGGACACGUGUACAGCUUCGCAUGACCGAUGCGUGGCUGCUGACUCACCUCCUUUGGUCCGAGAUUUUGGCCCUAUAUAAGGGUGCGAGAUCUUCCGAGAACUUUACACAUUUUACCCUAAAUUUCAUCCUUUUUCACAUUUUCUACCCCCAUAAACCUACUUACAACCCCGCGAAGCCCCGGUAUCAUAUUCAACACUUAAAAGACAUCUCGAGACGCAUGAAGCUCACAAGAAAAGAAUCUUUCGGUUUCUAAAAUACGAACCCUCGCAAGGCUCGAUUCUCAGAAAUAAAGUCUUUUUUUAGGAACGAAGUGCUACUCAAUUUUUCACGACUAUCAAGUGAGUUUAUACACUUAUGUUUUUAUAAUGUUUUAGGGGGAAAAAUACAAGUAAAAUACAAUGAAAUUUCGUAUAAAUAACAAGAUUUGUUUAUUUAAUUUACGAUUACUAUAAACAAACUAUUUUACCGGUUUGGAACUUAUUACAACAAUUAAACAUAUAAAUUAUAAUAGGUAUAAUUUAUGAUUCAUACAUGUUUAUCAAUACACUUUAUGGAAUUACAUAUGCUUUAUAUAUAUUCAGAGUUUCUGAAGAAAUUAACUAUAUAAAUUAUAUUAAAUAUAAAUUAUGAGAUACUUAUAAUAUAUCUAUUACAAAGAUACUUUUCAAUAUUCUACACAUAAUUAUCAAUAUAGUAUUUGUGAAACACACUUCAAGUACUUAUUCAAGUAUAAAACAAAAGUCCUGAAAGUUAUAACCAGAGUCUCCUAGAGAAAGAGCGUGACACUUGUAUAUAGAUCUAUAUGGAAUUGACAAUCCCACAUCCCGACUGUUAGCUACAGUCGAGUCGGCAGACUUGGGGUGACAAUUGUCGUACCAAAUUACAAUUCCUGAAGAACAUUGUGUUUCAGGCGAGGCUUAGGUCAUCAAGCAUGAUUAUGAUAACUCACAAUUUGAUAUUGAAUAAUAUGUUUAGUGUAAGAAUAAGUAAACAACUUCACAUAGUUUUACUAAAUUAAAACUAUAAUACAAUAAUUACAAUUUCACAAGUAUUCGUACAAGUAUAGAUAUAGAAUACUAUUCUAGUAUAGUGAAAACAUACUCUUCAUAGUUUUAUGGGAAUUUAAAACUAUACUAUUUGAGAACACAAAUACAUAUACAACAGAAAAUAUAGGAUUUUCUGGGUGAACAUAUUUACAUUUCAGAGAACAAAUGACAGAAUACUUUUACAACAUACUUAUGAACUCACUAACUUAAUUGUUGAAACUCUUUCCAAAACUAUUUGUAUUUUCAAGAAACCAUUAAACAGGUACCAGCAAGUUUUGAGGAAGACAAAGUAUUAUAUAAUUAUGUUUGUUAAUUAUAAUUUUUGGUGUUUAUUUGUUUAAUAUACAAUGGUUUGAACACACAUGUAAAGUUAUAUUUUAUCAAUGUAAUGGAUGUUGUACUUUGAAUACUAUUGUGCAUAGUUGUGAUACUACACAUGAAGUCAUUCACCCCCGAAUGUUUCUGCCGUUCAGGUUUGGGGUGUAACAAAUGGUCGUAAUAUCAUAAGUGUAAAUUGACAACUAUGGUAGCCUUGGUGGUCAUAAUACCAUAGGUUGAAACCUUAUUGGUCAAUAGCAACUUUGGUGGCCGUAAUAUUAUAUUGUGUAUUGUUAUUAGAGAAUUGCAAGUUAAUAGUAGCUUUGGAAAUCAAAAUACUAUAUUUGCGAAAGAAUAUAUUGUAGUGAAAAUUUGUAUGGUUGUAAUGUCAGUAAGAGUAAUGUUUGAUUGAAUAAAGAAUGUUACAACUACAAUAGUUACAUUUUAUUGGUCAUACACCUCAAAUGCAUCACGAAGUUAAUAAUAAUAACCAUAGACCUUAAAUUUCCCAAAUAGGUUUAAAACCAAUUUAGCAAUGAUUAAGAAUUUACAUGUAAGGUUAGGCAUCAAUAUUUGGUAGUGGAUACUAGGACUUUCUUUGGUAAUCUCAUCUGCAUGAUCAACAAACAUAGUUUAACUUUAACUAGAAUUUAAAAUACAUUUAAUGAAUCUAUAAAUAACAGAAUAUCAGACAAUUUUGACCUUAGAUUUUGUGGUUCUCCAACCUAUUGAGUUGGUUUGUGGAGAUGUGUAGGCAAAUUUCUCAAACGGAUUUUGUAGCACGCUUUUACUCAAACUUGUAACAAUAGAUGGUGAUUCUUCCUACAAUUAAAGUCGUGUUUGUUACACAGGACACUAUAGGACUUUGUGACUGAUUUCAACAAGACAAAAAUUGCAAACUUUUUUUGGAGAGUCGCUUUAGAUUUGAGAUGUAUGCAAAAUUACCUUAUUUGUUGUUGAUGUAUGGAUAUGUUGGAUUUCUAGUCUGUCAGAAUAAAAGAGCACCUGCAUAUAGAAAAGUUAUAUAAAUUGGUUGUAUAUCUCUAAAGGAUCAAAGAGAAUUUGUGAUCAUAUUCAAUACAUCCCAACUCCCAACUCCCAAAACAUAAAUCAGCAAAAUGACCAAUAUGCCCUCAAUAACUAUCAAACGGAUAUGCGACAAGAUAUUAUAAUAGUAUGAAUUGAUAUCAUACCUUGUUUAAAAGCUGCACAUUGGAUGAAUCAGUUGCCACAACAUGUAACCCAAGGCAAUUGUCUUGAUCACUACAAAAAGGGCAGAAAGCCGUAUUAAAUACACAGCCAUCUUCUUUGCUCCAAAUUCCUUCAUCUCCAUUUCUUUCCCAAAUUCUCCCAUCAACACAUGAAACAUCAGACACCACAACAGCUACACUUGUCCCACCCUUUUCUCUCCCUUUCCAACAUGACACCAAAUGCACUUUAGAUAACGACAUCAAAGAACAAGGGACAGAAUAGUCAUUUUCCGCAAGACCCAGUGGAUUUUUACAGAGUGAACAAGAUAUUUUUAGAUCUUUCUUGGUUUCAUCACCAAAAUUCAUGGUUUCUUUGACUGGAAAUGUGGGUUUGGGUUCAGAGGAAUCAAAGUGGGCCAUCUUGACCGAUGCAAAGGCUGAAGACUUUCUUCUUUUGUGAAAAUGGGAAUUGACACUCGAAUCUAGAGGUGAAUUGUUUUGAGGGAUUUGUUGUUUUUUAGGUGGUGUUGUUGUGUUCAUGCAUUCAGAAGCUGAAGUGGAACAAGGGGAAGAAAAGGAAUGAGUGGGAAACUUUGAUUGGAUUAUGGUUGACUCGGAGACAGAUUCAAGAGUAGCAGGGUAACUGUUCUUGAUUGGUGUUUCCUUCACAAUGAGUGGUUCAUGGUCAAGGGUAUUAUCGUCAUUUCUUGGAGUUUCAUGAACAAUGGUUAAGUCGAAAUCGUCAUCAUCAGAUAUAUUCAUUGAUGGUGGCGAUGGAAACCUGCACCCAUCACAAGACAGACAUUUGUUACCAACUUCUAUUCUCUUUUAGAGUAAUUACAAGAAUGGUCCCUAUGUUAUUCCCAACAUUUCAGGUUCAGUCCAACUUCUAUGAUAAAAUGACUUUUCUACCCUCAUAUGUUUCUUUUUAAAGUACAUUGCAUUUUUGGUCCCUGAGUAUAGCUGAUGUUUUUAAUUUUGGUCCCAAAAGGUUGUCAUGCUAAUUUGAUCCUUAUUUAAGAUUUGUCUAACGUUUUUUUUGUCCUUGUUCCUAGUAAAAUGGCUAUUUUUGGGAUCGAAAUUGCAAAAAUCACACCCAUAGAGAAAAAAUGGUCACUUAAUUUGGAACCGGGACCAACAACAUUACACGAAUGUCAAAUAAGGACCAAAAAUGCAAAUGAAAACCUUUUAGUACAAAAAUUGCAAAAAGCAACCUUACUCGAGGAACAAAAAUGUAAUUUGACUCUUCUUUUUAACUUUUCUAUAAUUUGUUUAUUUUAAACUAUUGUUAGAUGUCAUUUUACAUGGAUCAGUGACAGAUCAGAAACAAAAACCAAUGUUAGGGACCAAUUUUAAACAGAAAAAAAAAAAAAAAACAUUGGACUGAAUAUGCAACAGUGGGUAUAACACAAGGACCAUUCUUGUAACUAACUCAUUUUAUUUCAAUGAUUGAAAGAACAAGAGGCCUAGAUAAAAUAACAAGUUUAAAAUACCUGUUUUGUGUCUCCAAAUCACCUUUGGAGUCAGUGUAAGUUAUACCAGUAUUGCUGUCACUCUUUUUCACUCCCCUAAUAAUUGUUUCCUGAGGUCUAGAUUCUGUUUUGGGGGAGGGGCAGUGAAACUUUUUACUUGUAAUUGGAAACUUUUUUAUUUUAUUUGUUAAUAUUUCAGGUGGUGAAAUAACAGCAUCUGACAUGGAUCUUCUUCCUUUUGGUUUGGGGUUACUUAUAAUUUUAUGGUUCAUCAUUUCUGUUAAGAGGUUUCUUGGCUCCUCCACAUCAAUGACUUCAACAUCAACUAUCUGCUUUGUAUCAUUCUCAACCUGUUCUUCCAUUGUUUCACAAAAUGAGCAACAGAUUUAAAUUGUUAGUGAUGAAAAUCUAGCUAGCAAGAAGAAAAGUUGUUGGAUACAAAAUGCAAGAAAUAGCAACAUACUUUCAUUUAUUUGUUUAUUAUAAAUGUGUAGGUUGGUCAAAGUACAAUGUUGUAAUGGGAAGAAAUGAAAGUAAAAUUCAGUUAAAUAAAAGUAUGUUGCUAUCUAUUUCUUGCAUUCGAACCAAAAUGUGAAAAGGUACAUUGUCAGAGAAAGAACCUUGAUGUUCUUGAAAAAGGACUUUAAUCCUUCCAAUGACUGGUCAAAAUUGUCAUAUUGUCUAAUGGAUUUCCUUAUCCACUUUGAAAUGUAUGUUAAGUUUCUUUCUUGACGAAAUCGCUCAUCUGCUUGCAAAAUAUUUAGGAAUUAAUUUGGUAUUUGUAAGCAAAUAAAAUCAAUCUGUUGUGAAAAAAAAGGAGAACAUGAACAUAGAAACAUAUCAGGGGGGAGAGAGAAAGAGAGAGGCCUACCUAGGAAGAUUAUGGCUCCAUAGUCUGACCUGUGUCGAAUGCAACGGCCUACAGAAGAUCAAAGUUACACUGUAAGAAAACAUUGAGCUAAAACAUAAGCUCCUAAUAGAAACAGCAAAAACUAUAUAAGAAUUUAAAAAUUCUAGUUAUUCAUCAUAAACAUGAUUCAACAGUAAGAUUCGUAUAUUGUGAUCAAGGGAGAUGUGAUACCUGCUGCCUGAUUAAGAGCUCUAAAAGCUUGCUGACAAUACCAUUCGCUGCCACUAAGAAGAUUUUUCGAGGAUUUAAAAGUAUCGUUGUAUCUCUUUUUUUCUGCCACCUGAAUAUCAAACCUGCAAGGUGACACAAUACUAGCAAUCAGCAUCACAUGAUAUUAAUACUUUGAAUAUAACAUAAAUACAUAAUAUCAUAUCAAGGGUGCAAAUGUAGUCAAAAACAAGAAAGGGAAUCUUACACAUUUGGAAAAGGAAUCCCUAUAAGUAUCUGAGAUUAUCAAAGGAGCAAGUGGUAUAGUUAAGGAUCAUCUUGAAAUCUGAAAAGGGUACCACACCUAUAACCAUGCUCUGAAUAGGAUAUUAGCAAAUAUCAUACAAUGAAUUAAAGAAGCAAUUAAUAAUAUAAAGGAUACAACUGCUCGAGCAUUAUCAUCUGAGAAGUCAAUUCCUUCGGACACCUGUACAACCAGUCAUAGUAAUUUUAGUAUAUAAAAAAGAUAAGAUAAGAAGAGAAAUAUGAUGUAAUGUAGAUGACACAUCAGCAAUAUACCUUUCCUCGACAGACAGCAAGAAAUGUAGCUCCCUUUUUAUCGUUCCCUUUAGAACAUGAUAUUGCUUCCACCUUUUUAACCCUUCUCCUCCCAUUCCCAAUUGCAAGUUUCUUACCACGAAUUGAAUCAUAAUAACCACUCAAAACCUGCUCAAAAUCAUCCUGACUUCCUCUUGGCUCUAAUAAGUAAUAACACAACAAACAAGACUCCAUUGUCAAACCAAAAACAUUUUGAAAUUAAAACAUUAAUUUCAACUAGGGUUUAACCUCACCAACAAAAACAGGUUUUUGUGCAUUUAGGCGAGUCCAUUGACCUGUUUCAAACCAACGACUGCGUAAUUUGUCCAUAAGUUUAUAACUGGGGAAGAACACCAAACAGCCACCAGGGACAACUUUGCAUAUUUCUUCAAGAGAUGUUCCAAGUGCAUCCUGUAAAACAAUCACAUCAUAUUUAUAAUCAAAUGAAAUGGAGAAAUGUUUCCAUUUUUGUUUUUUUUUUUGGAAUUUACCUGGAAACCAUAUCCCUCGGAUGUUUUGUAACUUGCAUUCAAUGGGUAAUCACCUGGCCCACUGUGAAUCACACCCGCCCAUAACUGCAGCAUAAAGGGUAAAACCGUUAUUUAAAUAAGAAAGAUUACAGAAUCGUUUAAAAAUGAUUGAUUCUAGAAAAAAGGUAAGAAACUUUAUUGGUACCUGUGACUCCACAUUGAUAACAUGGGGAGCUUCAAGAGAGGUUCCAAACUGAACCCCAAGUUCAGAUUGAAAGGAACUCAUUGGUGAUAGAGUCCUAUAAUAACAUAAAAGAAAAUUAAAAAAAAAAUUGUAUUAAUAAAUAAAAUUUUAGAUAAAAUAUGAAUACAUGCACCUACCCAGAUGUUAAAAUUACAGAAAGAGAAGCAUCAGCAAUGUUUUUAAAAACAAGAGCUGGAUUCAAGCACCACAAACUCAAAGUACAAGGCCAAUCAUCACCAUCAACUCCUGCAUGCAAAAUGUUAGAUAUUAUAUUAUAAGAGUAAAUUACAUUUUUGGUCCCUAAGUUAAGCUGAUUUUUGCAAUGCAAGUUUGGUUCCAACAAAGGUUUUGGUCCUCAUUUAUGGUUCUUGUAAUAUUUUUUUAUCCCUAUUCCACAUAAUAUGAUUAUUUUGGGUCCCUAAGUACAGCUGAUUUUUGCAAUUUUGGUACUAAAAAUAUAGUCAUUUUCCUGAAAAGGGGACCAAAAAACUCAAAUGAGGACUAAAAUUUCAAGAGAAAGCUUUUUGGGACCAAAAUUGCAGAAAUCAACUACUCUCAUGACCAAAAAUGUGAUUUUUGCAACUUUGGGUCCCAAAAAUAGCCAUUUUCUUGGAACAAGGACCAAAAAUGUUGCAAAAAAACUCAAAUAAAAACUGACAUAGCAAGAAAAAACUUUUUAGGACCAAAUUUAAAAAAUUCAACUAAGGCACCAAAUCUGUAAUUUACUCUUAUUAUUAAGAACAUAAUGGUAAAUAAAUUUUAGAAACUUACCAGCAUCACCUUUGAUACGACAUUGCAAUACAAGCUGAUAAUCACAGAUGUGGGCCCCAUCUUCAGAGAAAAAGUAGGUGAGUGAAGAGAAAAGGCCUGUAGGUUUAAAAAAAAAAAAACAAAAAAGAAGGAUGCAAUGAGAAACAUAAGUUUAUUCUGAGUGUGUGGAAGAUUAUAAAGAAUAAUAACAUGAAAGUUAGGCUAAGCACCUUCUAAUACUGUAGAGGGCAUGCCACUUAAAUGGUCAACUUCAAGAUCUGCAUCUGUAGCAAUUUUAAUUGCCUGAAAAAGGUUGUAGAAGACAAAGUAGGAUAAUUUUACUUUAGUAUGUUAUUAACACAAGUGAUUGCUCAUCUUAUUAAACUCUAUAUCAACAUUAGUUAUAGAGAAAUUACACAAAUGGUCCCUAAUAUUUGCAAUAUUAAUCCCCAAAAAGUUUUUUCUUGCCAUUAUGGCCCCCUUAUUUGCUGUUUUUGUAAAGUUUUGGACCCUAUUCCAAGUAAAAUGACUAUACUACCCACUUCACCAGAGUUUAGCUCAUUAAAAAAAGGGGAGGAAUCCAGAGUUAGAGUAGGCCAACUGGCCAAAUCCCAGUAUAUAUUAAUAAGGGUAAUAUAGUAUUUUUACAUGGAACAGGGACCUCAAUCAUUAGGAUACUUCAGAUUAAUGACUAAAAACAUUAGCAGAAACCUUAAAUGAGGACCAAAUUUACAAAAGAAACCUUUUUGGGACCAAAACUGCAAAAAAAAAAAAAUAGCGAUACUCAGGGACCAUCUUUGUAACUUAAUCUUAAUUGUAUGAAAAAAUGGAUUAUGGAUGUUUGGAAAUUACUAGGUGUGGCAUAAAAACUCAAAGUAAAUGUUUUUAAUUUUGAUGGAGAAAUGCAACUGAAGAGAGGAUUACCUUUGUGGCACAUUCUUGUAAGAUUGGGAAGCACUGCUUUGAUAUGCUUGCUUCUUCAAGUUCUUUUAAAGCUUUAUCACCAGUCCAACUAAAAUAAUAUCCAAAAGCACUUAUAUAUCUUAUAACACAAAAUAUAUAAUAACAUGAAGAAAACUUCAAAAAAAUAUAUGUAUAUAAGAUAACUGACCAUGAUGCAUUAUGUUGAAAACUAUGCUUCCCCAAUGAAUUUUUCUUCCGCCUGAUCCAACUAAUAAUGCCCUGUCAUAAUUAAAAUUAAAAAAUAAUUAUUUAAAAAAUAAAUGCAGUUGUAGUAUAGGAAUAUGAGGAUUUAAUCUAAGGAGUAGUACCUCCAUCAUUUCACAUAAGGGCUGAUAAAUCUCUACUUGAUCAGCCUGUGUAACUCGAUCACUAUGACAAAGAUUUUCCAGUUCCAUCUGUAAUUCUUCCAUAUGUACAAACAGAAUACAAAAUCAAUAAAUACAUUAAAGUAAAGGGAGGGUAAAAAUGGAAUAAAAAGAUGCUUACGAAGCAGAACAACUUCUUCAGCAUCUACACUACCAGCAUCCCGAGCUAUGUCCUCUAUAUUACUGAAAACAGGUAUAAAAAAAAGAACUAUAUAAACUGCCAUGUGAGUGUAAAAUAUGUAUCUGAAAGUCCUGAACUUUUCAUAUAUUCCAAAAUUACCCCUCACAUGACUAGGAAGAAAAACAGCAAAGGGACCACACAACAAUUUUUAGACUUUAGGGUCAUUUAGGUUUUCCAAAUGGACAUAAAAAUCACAAAAUGUUAACCUUUGAGUAAAUUACAAAAAUGGUCCUGUGCUUUGUUAUUUUACUGUGCUUAGUUCAAAAAUCAAAAUUGGAACUUGUUUCAGUUUUGGACAUUAUUUCAAGGUUUCAUAUCAAUUUUGGUCCCUGUGCUUUCUGACUUUUACCACUUCAGCUCUUCUAGUCCAAACUUGAUACAUUUUUCAAUUUGGUUAUUAUUUCAAGAUUUCAUAUCAAUUUUGGUCCUUAUUCCAAAGUUCAAGGAACCAAAAUGAAUAAAUGAUGUCCAAAAAACUGAAAAAUGUGUCAUCUUUGGACUAAAGACAGUAAAAUCCACAAAGCACUGGGAACAGAUUUGUAACUUAAUCUUAAUUUUUCUUGUCAAAAUAGUUAUAGCAUUUGAGAGAUUAUACUACUCACUGAGCUUCAUCAAGAAUGAUAAUGUUUCCUUUAACAUCUAAUUCCAUUGCUUUUCUGAUUUGUGGAUUGAUAAUAUAACUAUAAGGGCAAAAAACUAUUUGUGCCACUUCUGCCAUGGCUUGUGCUCCAAAAUAUGAGCAACCUGAAAAUUUUGGGACAAACAGUUAUGUACUAGACAGUAAGUAACAUUUUGUCAAAGAAACUUGUAAAGAUAAAAGACCAAAUUAACCUUCGACCAUUUGUCCAACUUUAACAAGAUCCUCAAUAUCAUGGAGUUCAUAGCAGCCUCCUUUUUUAACAGAUGGGUGUGCUCUAAUCUUUUUUGCAUUCCUGUAAGAAAGAAUGGUUGGUUAUAAAUUUUAAUGGAAUCCUACUAAAAGUACAAGAAAAAGGUAUAUGGACAACAAAAAUAAAAACACAAAAAAAACUCACAAGAAUUCUGGGCAACCACAUUUGUUUUGUCCUCGCUCCUUGAGAAGUAGCUUACUACAUUAUCAUAAAACAACAUACAUAAGAAGUGGAAAAUAAAAUGUAGAUGCAAAGAUUAACAGAUAAAAAGGCACCAUUUCUCAUCAAUAUUAUCUUGGCCACGAACUUUGGCAUUUGUACAGUAACGUUUUCUAGAUGCCUGAAAGUUAACUCAAGAAAAUGAAAAGAGAACUUAUCAGAUUCUGAUCAAUAUCAGAAUGCAAAGGCAAAACCAUAUAUAAAGAGAUCUUUUCAAUUAAAAAUUAAAAAAAUAAUGUUACAAGUACAAUGUAGGAUCAAAGAUAACAUACCAAAACUGCCAUUGGCACCCGAUAACUUGUUUUGCGAAAUUCAGAGACAACUUGACUAAUCUGUGAAUGUGUCCGCCUAAAUAAAUUUAUCAUAUAAAAAAUUAUAAAUCCCAAUCUUCAUGAGCUUCAAAUAUCAAUAUUACACAGAUGCCCAAGUGACAAAAGUUACCUCCAUAAGCAUACAUACAACAUAUAUGAUAGAAUCUCAUGUGCUUUGUUUAACAAAACUUACGUGGCAUAGUAAAUGAUAGGGCCUCUUUUUUUCUUCUGCUCAGUAUUGUGUGUCUCGGAAAAAGUAGGCACCACAUUAUUACCUAUGAUUUUGAAAGAAGAUAAAGACAAGAAAUCACUGAUUAACGUAAUUCUGAUACAGAAAUCGUGCAAUUACUAUAUGGAAGUGCUAUAGUUAUCUAUGACUCAUGACUUUAAACAUUCAAAUAAUGAAGUGCUAUAGUCAUCUCCAAUAAUAUGUAAGUAUUAGUUUAUCCAAUCUUUUAGAGGUUGUUUUAAAACAGUUUCCCCUCUCUCGUAAUAGAUAAGGGAGCCAUGUUAACUACUAGCAUGGUCUUUGGUACCAAAGAAAAUAAUCAUUGUGCAAUCAAUGCAUAAUAGUAUAAACACCAAAUAGUGUGUUGUUUCUAGUGGAUAAAUGUUUGUACUAUUUGGGUUCUACAAGUUCUCUGUUUCUACAAUCAUAUAUGCAAAGUCCAUAUAAGUUUAUAUUUGAGUAAAGCCAAAAACUCGAAAGCAUUAGUUUUUGCACUUGAGGCAAGAACAGUCUUUAAAAAUAUCAAAGAACUGCCAGACUUUCUAAUUCCAAUUGUUGUCAACAAAAUGAGCAAUUUUGAUGCCAAAAACGAUAUAUCUAUUCUUGAUAGCAGAAAAUUAGAUGAAGCACAGUUAUAUGAUGUUAGAAAAGAGGUAGAAUUGUUGUUGUUGAAGUUUUCUAUCCAAACUUUAUAUACAUAAAAGGCCAGGCAAGCAGCUUGGAGAUUGUGUCUACUAACACCACUAUUAGCAAUAAGGUUAGAACUUUAAUAGCAAUCGUUAAACUUCAAAUUUUGUACAUUGGACACUCAACAACAAAGCAACCAACUCAUUUGAAAAAACCAGGUAACCGUAUUUAUAUAUACUAGUGAGGAUUGAGGAUGGAAAUUUGGUAGCAAAGCUUACUGCUCAUUGCUAGUUUUUGAAAGAAAAAAAAAUGGUAUGUUAAAUACCAUAUAUACAGUCAUCAAUAAUUUCAACAUGAAAUUUUAGAAUUAAAUAUCACACGUUGUAUACAGAAUGUGAAGAUCAUUUGUAGAGUAAUAACAUUGUAGAGUAUAUAUCAGCAGAGAAAGGUUAGAAACCAUUGAUAUUACUCCAUUUCAGGGACAAACCCCCACUACCACAUAAAAAUUCCAUUGAUACCGACAUGAAAUAAAUAUAUGUACCAAAAUAAAAUGUUAUCAUUUAUACCUGAUGGCUCCAUUUCAGGAACAAACCCCCCACCACGACCCAGAGGGUCAACCAUAGCCUCGGGAUCAGGUUUCGAUUGAGAGAUAUUCCCAAGGAGAGACUUUAACUGUUGAUUCUUCUGCCAUGCCAGAACGGAGCAAAGCAGAGACAAAGACUUUCCAGUACCAGUAGGAGAUUCAAGUAACGCAUGAAAAUGACCAUCUCGUUGAGCUCGAUCGAGAGUUGCGAUUACUCUGCCCAUGUAAGCCAGCUGAGAGCCAUAUGGUUGGUAAGGAAACUCGAUUGGUAUGCCGCCGAUGUGAAUGACAUUCUUUUUCGAUGGUUUAGGGUUUGGAUUUGACGCCGGCAGUGAAUACGAAGACAUUGCUUCUCCGGUGUAAGUAGAUUUUCGCCGGUGGUUAGCCCUCAUUCGCGGUUUUUCCUGUAGAAUGAGCUGAUUGGGGUUUUAGGGUUUCAACUGUUGUGAAAAUUUCGUCUUUGGCGGGAACUUUAUUUUUUGGAACAUUUUAUAAAUGCGAGGCAAAUUUAGGGACGGGUAGAACGGCGUUAUACAAUCGAAUGAAUAUUAAACAAUUUUAUAUUUUAUAUUUAUAUAUAGAUACCGUUGUUUUUUUUUUAUGUUCUAUCAUAUGAGGGAUACCUUUUUAUGCAAAAUAAGAUUACUUUACAUAUUGAAUUAAGUUUUCGAAGACGAAACCGAGUGUUUAUACCUUUUUAUCAUUGGGUACUUUUGAAAAUUAAUUUAAAAUCAACUUUGAAAACAAUUUGAAAUUUAUUUCGAAAAUCUUUACAAAUCCAUAGUUUGAGUCUAAAUUCACACAAUGCUCAUCCAAUUCUCUGAAACUAGUGUUUUAAUACAAACUUGUAACAUCCCAAAAUUCAGAGUAAAAUUUUUAUUUUUCAAAACAAACCCAAAGACCAUAAUUGUUUACAAAUCAUUGUUCCAAAAGUAAAAAACAUACCUAGGGUGUCCCAAAAUGGUAAAAUCCAAUAUCAUGAAAAUCAUAAGGAUGUGCACAAUCAUGUAUUCAUUUUGUCACGGUCAUCUGAACUACCUGAAACAAUAAACUGAAACUGUAAACAUGAAGCUUAGUGAGUUUCCUCCAAAGUACUACCACACAAACAUACACCAACAUGCAUACUAAGUCUACAUAUAACAGACCGAAUUACCCCUGAGUUCACAACAUGAAUUUGGCUUGCCUUCUUGCCUACAGCUCAUGUUUGGCUUGCUCCUGAGCACACAACAUAAGUUUGGCUUGCUCCCGAGCCCACAUCAUAAGUAUGUAUUGCCUUUCCGCCGUACAACUUAUGUUGGGCUUGCUCCCAAGUCUGUUGACUUCCGCAGAAAGCAGGAUAGCCUCAAUCUAACCAUAUUGUAUCAACAUAUACAUGACUAAUAACAUGUAUCCAACAAAAAAACAAUCAUAUAACUAGUAAGACAAACAGGCAGAUCUACAGAUCACCACUGCACAACAACAUCCUAUAUACCAAGACACAAAUCUAACAUAUCACUACAACAUAAUAACAUCCUUAAUACCAAUUGUAACACCUGUUUUCAUGGAUGAAUUAAAUUAGGGUUUCAAGGAGUCAAAAGGUUCAAUUUUGGGAGAAAAGAAGCCUCACGAUGUGAGACAUUGAAGCUCACGACAUGAGAUAGGUUCAUAUGAAAACUUUUGUUCAAUACUGGUCUCACGACAUGAGACAUAGACGCUCAUGGCGUGAGAAUUAAUGCAGCCCAAGCCCAUUCUCUUCUAGGGUUUCCUUCAAAUUUAAGCACCUCUAAACCCAUUUUAAGGUUCAUUCUCAACUUCCAAACCCUCUUCCACCUCAGAAAACCCUAGACUUCAUUCCUUGCUUGAUUCUUGGUAAUUUGGAGUAUUUAUUGGUUUGAUGAAGAAGAAUAAGAAGAAGGUGAUCUUUUGAUGAGGCUUGAAAGGAAUCAUCAUCGUUAUCAUCACCUUUCAUUGUUUCUGGACCCUUGUAAGUGUCAAAGCUCCCACUUUUGUAGUUGAUAGUUGCUAGAUCUAAGUUUGUCCCACUUUUCUCUUUGAUUGAGCGAGUUUGGAUGAAUGGAAACCACAAAGUUGCCAAAUUUAUGGGUUGAAAGGGCCUAAAGAGUGUCAUGAAGUUCAGGUCUAGUGAAUGGUUGGGUUUUGGGACCUUGCGUGAAAGUUGGAUGACUUUUUCUUCGAUUAUUGACCCAAAUGAGAUCUAGACAUGUAUUGGACGUAUAUGCCAUAAAAGCAUUGACUUUCAAGUGUAUUAUAGAGUUAUAAGACCUUUUGGAACUUAGAGUGAAAGACUUAAUGAAUUAAUGACUUAAAUGUUUGCUUUUUUGGCUUUAGACUGUGCUCACGACGCGAGACAUAAGGUCUCACGACAUGAGGAUUGAAUGAUCAUGUUUCUGUUAAUCAGGGACAUUAAUUAUUUCAAAAAUUAUUUAAAAAAAUAAUAAAUCUAAUUAUAACCCGAAAAAUAUAAAUAAGCAUAGAAGUUUAAUAACAAGGUUAACAAGAUGUAAAUCCCCACUUUGUUUGUGUAUCAAUCAAAUCCGUUUGAUGGUGCAAAAUCUCAAUCAAAUGGAUGAUGCCGGAUCAAAAUAAAAGAGGAGGAGAAUAAGAAUAACUUGAAUCUAUGAUGUAUUAAAGAUGAGAAUGAAUUUCCUUACAAUAGAUUCACACACACUCUCUUAUUCUCUCUUGUUUCUCUCUCUAUAACACACCUUAGAAUACACACACUUAAGCUCCUUUUUUUUGUACCCCCACAUGCACUCCUCACCCUAUAUAUAUGAGACAUGGGUCGUGAACAGGUUUACGGCGUAAACCUGUUCACAACCGUAAACUCAUAAUACAUUACAAAAAAAUACAAUUGCCUACAAAAGCAAAGUAUAAACCAUAAUUUUGACCCAACAAUCCCCCCCUUGGUUUAUAGUUUUAUUUUCUAAUUGACCCAACAAACUCCCCAUAAAAAGUAGUUGGCUUUUAUUGUUAAUCUUCAUUGGGACCUUGGCUUCAACAUUAAUCUUCAAAUUUAUUCACAUCAUCAAGAUGAACAUAUGAAUCUUCAAUAAAUGACUUCAUCUUGAGCAAUUGACAUUUCUGCAGAAUUUGACAUUGAACGCACAUUAGGUGAGGAGGCUUCUUGUAGAGAUUCUUGAAAGAUGGCGCUUUCAGCUUGAGAAUCUUCAGAGAUAACUCAUAUUCUGGAUCACUUUAGCAGGUUUAAGAUAGCGGCAGACUGAUUAAGGAAGCUUCAAUGCAAUCCGUCACAUAAUCUUCAAGUGCAGCUUCACCUUGCUUCUGGGGUUGAAAAAUUGAAUGUUGAAAGAAUAAUUUUCAUUUCUUGCUCCUUCGAAUGAGACUUCUUCGAUGAUCACGGAUUAAACUUUGGCUCGGAAAUCUCGAUGCAGUCUCCAUGAGUCUCAUCUACACCUGAAUUCACGUUUCAAUACAAAACAAAAAUAAAAGAAAACUUAGCACACAAAUUAAAACAGAAACAAAAAUAUUUUUGGAAUUUUGAUUUUUCGGAUUUUUGUUUGAUUUUUUUUUAAUUCUCCCCCUAAAUUUGUGCAUAGAGGAAAAUUAUGAACAAAUUUAACAAAAACAAAAAUAUUUGGGAUCAAAGUUGUGAGACAGUCUUAACUUUGUUUAUCAGUACCUUCCCCUUCAUAAAUAGAUCCGGUUAAUUUCCGGUAUUGUGGUCCACUUAAACACAAAGCAUAUCGACAAACUUUUCUAAAUAAACCAUUUAGCUGACGACGACCACGGGUAUUAUUAUCCGCUUAAAUUAAGCAGCGAGAUCUACAGACAACCUCUAAAUGGUUCAAUUUUAGUUGCACUAGAAUGCGUUCCCCACUUCCCGAUAUACCCUGGUUAUCAAUAACUUCCUAAGGACUCCUUACUUUUGGUGAGUAAACAAUUAUUAAGGAGGAAGUCAGAUUUAGAGAUGGAUGUAUAUGUUGUGUCCUAGGUCGGAUCUCUUUCAAUAACGCAGAGGGGGCAACAUAUGACUAAUAGUACUAGAAUGAUUGAGAGGUAGAAUGUUGCAUAUGUUGUGUUCCAGGUCGGAUAUGUUUCAAUCACGCAGAGAAUACAACAUAUGGCUAACAGAUAGAAAUAGUUUCAUAGAUAGGGAGGUGCGUAGAAAUAAAGUUGCUAUACUGCAUUCCAGGUCGNAACAAAAUUCGAAUUUUAUUAAGUUUAAACAAUUAUGGUAAUUAUCCUAAGUCAAAAUAGGUAAAAAUCCCGAAAACCCGCCUGUUUGACAGCUAAACUCGCCGAGUCCACAAUGGGACUCGCCGAGUACAUCAGGCAGGAGGCAAAAAACGAUUUUUUCAAGCAUGGACAAGCAUACAAAGCAUCAAUACAAUAGAAACCAAGCUAGGCUCUGAUACCACUGAUGGGUUUUGGUCAUAAGACAUCCUAUGUGCUCAUACAAACCCUAAUGCUUGGAUCUAGGUUUCUCUAUUGUACAUGCUUUGAAUCCAAGACUAUAAACCCUAAUUCUAGCAUAUGGAAAUCAAUAUUAACAUAUAAUUAGGUUUAUGAUAUUACCUUGAUUGUUAUGUAGCAAUAACAAUCCCAAUUCCUCCUUGAAUUGACUUUGGAAGGCUUAGAGUCACAAGUGUCACUCCUCUAAUGGCUUACAAACACCAUAAGCAAGUGGAGAAGGUAUAAAGAGAGAGGAGAGAGGUAGGAAUUCGUCCUUAGGACUUCUUGGGAAGGGUUAGACGAAUUCAUAAGCCUUAGGGGGUUUAUAUAGGUGUAAAGAUUAGGGUUUUAGUCCUUAUCCUUAUCUAGUUGCUUGUCCACCAAGCAACCAUAAGAUAAGUCCUAGAAACCCUUAUCCUAGUCGAAUUCUAAGGGAUUUACACCUCAAAUUCGUUCACCAUAUAUAUAAGAUAAUCCUUACCUUAUUUUGUAACUAUCACAUAAUUACAAUUCAGCCCCUCUAGUUUAAUUAAUUACACUUGAUCACAAAAUUAAUUCUUAAUUAAUUAUUGACCAAUAUUAAUUAAACAAAUAUGAUUUCUCCUUUAAUAUAUUAUUCUUAUAACAUAUUAAUAAAUCAUAAUAACCUCUCUCUCUAUUUAUUUCUCCAAUCAAGUUGCUUUGGUGAAGGCAACCCAAAAGGACCAUGCACCAUCGGGUCAAGUACAUACCAAAAUAGUUAUGGACUUAGACACUAAUCCAACAGUCUCCCACUUGGAUAAGUCUAACAACUAUUCUGCGUAUGACUUCGGAUCCCGAUCUGCAAUCGUAGCUUUCCAAAGCCGCUGUCAACUCUGAUCAUAUCAGAUACGCGUGUCCUUAGAUAAGGGAUCAUAUAUUCCUCCAUUCUAGAUAUCAUAUGAGAUAUGAUUUCAAAUCAUUCUCUUUGUACUAUAUCUCGAUUUCCGAUUUAUGACGACUGACUAAUUGAACAAAUCAAAUUAGCCCUAGCCCGGCCGAGCAUUUACGUUUGUCAUCACUAAACCAUCGAGGGGCCCAAAGAUAUCGCUUUUAUCCUACUUUGGAUAAAAGGAACGGAUAAACUUUGAUACAAUGCUUGCUUGCACUCACUCACCGAAUCACACACAACAAUAUGUUUUAUAACACCAAGUUACUAGUGCGUUUACAUAUUAUCAAUGUGCAACCGAUUUGCAAGAUACAACUCACACAUCUCGGUUUCAAGAAUAUAAGAUGUUAUCGUCUCACCAAUCACUCGUGAUACAAUUCAUGGAGUGAUCCAAGUGAGCGUGGGUUUAAUCCAAUGCUCAAAUCAUAUUCAUAAGCACUCAUGAACGUUGCAGCAAACAUUUGCUUAUGUCUAAUACUCUUUUAGACAAUCCACACACCAAUUCACGACAGUCUUCAUUCAUAUCUACUUCCAACAUAUGAACGACUGUGGCCCGUUUGAAUAAUUCGAUUAUUCUUAAUAAACUCAAUUAUUCUGGAAGUCAAAACAUGCAAAUGUGAAACACAAGAAUAAUACUAAUCCCAUAUGGCCUCAAACCUUUGAGUAUAAAUAAAACACCUUUUAUUUAUCACCAUAUUGAUUACUCAUUAUUUGUCGUUUCGGGUAAUCAACUUCUUACUUGAAUUCCAACACUUGUCCCAUGCUCCUAGCAUGCACACAAUGUUUACCUAUGGUUCUUACUUUGUGAAAUAGAUCUCAUUGAAUACAUUUCCAAUCCUUCUCAUUUCACAACUCCAAAUCCCUUUUUCAUAAGUGAAAGAAUAUCAAAUUCUUGCUACUUAUAGAAUAUGCUAGAUUCUAACAUUCUAUGCAACUAUCCUUUCGUAAUGUCACUGCACCAAAGUCACAAAGACUAUUGCCAAUGAUAUUACAAAGUCCUCUAUCGGAGAUUGUUACAAGACAAUUCCAUAGACGUGAUGUCUCUCACUCAAAGUACAUUCUUUGAACAUCCUUUUGCAUAGAAGUUUCUAAUCUAGUCAUAGAUUUCUCAAUAUUCAAUUCCCAAUAUGGACACACUUCCAUAUGUUCCAUAUGACAACUCAUUCUUAAUAGAAUCUUAUCUAUUCGUAAUGAUGUCGAUAUGGUCCAUCCAAUAUGGAAACAUUUCCAUAUUUUCCAAUACUAUACUUCCAACUACUCACAAGCGACCAAUCCUCGUCGAACUUUGGAUUGUCCUUUGAUAGUUGUUUAAUUAUUUUAGUCAAAACCAAUUCUAGUCCCUUUUCCCUCUAAAUGCGCUCGACAUUUGGAAAAUUUUAGAAUGGUCAAACAUUAAAGCAUUUGCAAUCGAUCCUAUACCCGAAGCGUAUGGGACACGACGCAUAAUGUUUUAUUUGCUAUGUUCUCAAAAUUCGAAUUGUGAAGAGGGAUGCCGUAAUCAUAAUCGAAAUUUUAAGAACACACUAUGUACCUUUGACUAAAUUUAUUAACAUUUCUCAACCUAAUCCUUUAGAUUUGAAAUGAAGCAUAAUAUUCUCUCCCUUAAUUAUAGCAAAACAACCUUUCAACUCUUACAACUUUGCAAAGUAUGACUCUUGUUUUCUAUAAUUAAUAUUGCUAACCUUGCAAUACUUUCCUUAAUAAUCAUACAAUCAUAACAUUUAUGCUCCCACUAUCAUGAUGAUUAUUAUAAAACAUAACACUUAUGCUCCCACUAGCUUCGACAUGUAUUCAUAAACAUCUUAACUUUCAGAAAAACAAUACUUAUUGAAUUUCUUAAGUUCAUGUUUCUAAUACUUAGUGCUUUGAUAAUCUUUUAUCAAGGCUUCUUGAACUUAUACACCUUUGCCUUCGAUAGUUCAUAUGUGUGUCUAAACAAUUAAGACUAAUUGCCAAACCUCACAAUUCAAAUUAUGGAAAGGGAUACCGUAACCAUAAUCGAAUUCGAGAAUGCAAUUUUACAAUCACUAUCUUCUUAAAAUCUUUCUUAGUGAAAGCAUUUCCUCACAAUCAUUUUCAUGAAGGAGGAAAUCUUAUGACACUUAGAUUUGAGCGGUGUAUGUGUUCCUAUCCAUGUGAAUUUGUUAAAACCAAAGUUUACGACAAAUUCAAACUCAUAUGGACCGAACUUUCUUAAUCUUGAUUUCUUGCCUUAUGGUAGCACAGCUGCCCACCAUGUCUUCCAAGUAGUUAAGCAGCUCACCCUUUCCUAUCAAUGUACCUUUCAUUGAUUAAGGUGCUUUGCCUUUUAUGCGUUCAAAAUGAGAACUCAUAGAACUCACAUGCAUAAUUAACUCGAUUGGAUUGGCACAGAAACAAAAUAAUGUCAACACGAUAGGUUGUAAACCUCAACUCGUGUGCUAGUGAUGAUCGAUAAGGUUUAUUUGAUUUGUUCUUGAAACCUUUCAAGACCAUUAAGACUCCCACUGACUCCUUGACAUAUACGAUUCUCUUGUCAAAACAUUUCUUGACAAACAAAUAUUCAAGAGUUAGUGUAGCUUUUAUCAAAACAAAACACUUCAUAAUUUUGGUCUUAGUUGGUCUUUGUCUUAUCCAAGACAUCACAACUUUCCACAUUUGAUGAAUGUUAUAAACCUUCUUAAUACUAUUCACUCAAUGUCACAAUCUUAACUCUAAGACUUGUUUUGGAACGAAGUAUGAUUGACUUCUUGAUUUAACCAUUUCUUCAAUUCUUGAUUCCUCUUCUUAGACAUACAAUUGUACUAAGACUCACUUAGAGGAUCAAUUGAGAUAUGGUUCUUAAUCAUUAAGACCUAUCAUAAAGCAUAAAAGCUACUCUCCCUUCUUCUUAGAAUGGAGAAACUUUUAUCUUUCUGCCUACUUGAUUCUUCUUAUUCGUUCUGCUAUUGAUUUAAACAUUUUCAAUCAAUUCAGAAUUACACUUAAUCUUAUAAGUAUAAUCAUAUUUACUAAACCUUUAGUAAAUCAUGACGAAUAUCUUGUUACUCUUAUGGUGGACUUUGAUCAACACACAACUUUGUGUACUCGAUCUCCUAGUCCUUCACUUGACACUUUGUCAAUGAAUUAGUCUAAUUUCCAAAUACGAAAUUUCUCAUUCAUCGUGCAUCCACGUUGCAUGAUUCCAAGUUUCUUUCCAAUUGAAACUUGGGCGAUGAGAAACUCUCCCUAUUUGGUAAAUUCCUGACAUUUCCAUAAAUAACAUAACUAAGAAUCAUAUCCAUUCGUUGUAGAAGUAUUCAAACAUCAAUUUUCACAUAACGAUUUCAUUGCAAGGAAGUAAACAAAUAAAUAAAUAAGUCAAACAAAAUUUAUUUUAUUUAUAAAAGCAGCGGAAAAACAUUUGUCCUUACAAUGCAAAAUCUAUUGAAAACUAUGUAAAAAGAAAAUUUCUAACAACUCAAUCAUAACUAUCUAAGCUCAAAAUCCGAUCUUCAAGUCCAUGCGAUCAAGAUCCAUCUCUUGUGAUUAGAUUCAUCUUGCUCUCUUAUCAAGUCUCCUUUCUUUUCACCGAUCCUUCAAAACAUUCAAAUGCAAUCUUAUCACAUCAUGCAUUAAGAAUCAAUGAAUAGGAACUUAAUGGAGUUAGAUAGUGGAUUUUACCUGAAGCGCAGACAUACUCUUUGACUCUCCCAUCUUCUGGACUCUUCAGACUCUUUGGGCAGACUUGUAUCCAACGCCCUUUCUUUUGGCAGCAAACGCAGGUCGGUUCUCCUAGAACGUCCUCGGAAGCAUGGUCGGUUGACUUUCCCAACAAAUACGCUCCAUUGCUUCGCCAAAUCAUUUCUGAUUCAGCAGCAAUGAGCAUGUAAGUUAGGUCAAUNGCAGAUUCACCAAUCAACUUUGCUUUUCUAUUGCGCCAAACCAUUGCUGAUUCAGCAGCAAUAAGCAUAUAGGUGAGAUCUAUAAGGGUCACGUCGUGGUUCAUCAUAUAGUACUCUCUUACGAACUCACUAUACGAGUUAGGAAGUGACUGAAGAACCCAAUCAACAGCCAUCUCUUCACCGACAACGGAUCCCAUCAUUCUUAACCUAUCAAUGUGUGACUUCAUCCCUAAGACAUGUGCACACACCGACUUGCCCUCUUUAUGUUUACUUGCCAAAAAGGGCUUGAGUGAUAUUGAACUUUUCAAUUUUACAAUCUUGUGGGUUAGGAAGAAUAAUUGGAGGAGGAGGAGGAAGUGAAGCAUGAUUUCUUGUUCCUCGAUCGAAUCGUGGAAUAUCAUCUUCAUGUGGAAUGCUUGUUCCACGGGAUUUGGGAAGACCAUAGUUGUCGAACUUUGACAUCUACAAAACGGGAGAAAACAAAUUCAAGUUAGUUGAUUGAUAGAGUCCUUAGUAAAUCACCCAAAUGAGAUACUAAGGCUAGGACCCAACACAAUAUUCUACAACUCGGGAGAGGGAUGCCGUAACCCAAAUUGCAGAACAUUUGAAGGUAAGUGAAUGACGAUUCACUAAUUUCCACCAUGAAAAACGAAAAAGAAAUUUAAGUUUUAAAUCUAUGAAAACUCCUAGAUCCUUUGAGAUUCAUUGAACUUUCAAUGGCAUGUUUAAAUCUCGAUAUGCCCCUCUUGUUUGUGACUGGGAUGCCGAGGAUCACAAAGCGGGUGUGAAUAACCAUGCAAACUUACAUGGUGCCCUCACAUGUUACAGUCACCUAUUCGAUGUGCCGGUAAACCACACACGCUCCACCGAACUAUGACAAACAUUGAGUCACCCUUUGCUACCUUUGCUUAGAACCAUUUAGUGUGCCGGUAAACCACACACGCUCCACUAACGUCUUCGCAAGGGCACAAAGUGUAAUUUCAUGGAAUUGCAUCAAUUCACUUUUGCCUAAGUAACUAAGAUUGGGAAUUUUAUGAAAACAUUUAGUUACUUUUAUACUUCAUUAUACUUAUAAUGGAAGGUUUCGUCCUAUCCUACCCGUUCGGCUAACGACCCUCCACUAGUCAAGAGUGCGGUGGGUAAGAGUGGAUACCCAUUCAAUCGCCAUUUUAUAGGCAAUUUCCUUAAACACCCCUUAUAGACCAGCUUCGUGAAUGAGGCCUACUAACGGUAAGACUGACUUUUACUCAUACAUAUAUAUAAUGUUAGACUUUUAAUGUUAUAUAUAGUAUAGGGUGUAUUUUACACUUUUAAAAUACUAGGUGGUCAAAUUUAACAAUUAUACUUUUAAUUCAAUUAAAUUGUAAACCAAAACUUUUAUGGAUUUAUUAAACCUCUUUUAAUUAUACACCUUAAUUAAUUAAUAAAACCAUAAGGGUGUGAUUUGAACUUUUUCAAAACAAUACUAGGGUUUUAGAAUUUAACAUUCCUAAUUAAACUUUUAAUCAACUUUUAAAUUCCAAAACUUGAGGGCAAGUUUUGAAACAUUUCAAAACAUUAGGGUUUAGAAUUUAAAUAUACAUCAAAAUUAAACAAUUAAUCAAAAUUUAAAUUCCAAAACUUGAGGGCAAGUUUUGAAACCUUUUUCAAAACAUUAGGGUUUCAACUAUUUAAAUUUCAAAACAACAAAACUUUUGAGGUCAAAUUUAAACUAUAAAACCUAAAGGGGAAAAUAUGAAACAUUUCAUAACACAAGGAUCAAAUAACAAAUAAUCUAAAUUAACAUUUAAUCACAUAAUUAUCCAUAUUUGAUUUAUUUAAUGAUUUCUUGCAAAACAAUUUACCAAUUUAAUCAAAAUAAUUAAUCAAUUAUCACAUAAGGAAACAAAUAUUUUAUUAAUUGAUAAAUAUCUUCAAUUAGAUCAAGAAUAUAGUCAUAUAUAUCAAAAAAUCGGAUUUAUAUUGAUCUAAUAUGAUAAGGCAAGUAUCCUCAAGCAAAAACAGCAAGAAAUCCCGGUUUUCCCUCUUACUGACCAGCCGACUCGUCGAGUCAGGCAUGGACUCGUCGAGUUAGCAUGAACUCGGCGAGUUCAUCUAAAAAACUCGGCGAGUUCAGCCCCCAGAAACACAAAAAUCGAAUUUUUUCAACAUACAAAGCAUCAAUACAAUAGAAACCAAUCUAGGCUCUGAUACCACUGAUGGGUUUUGGUCAUAAGAACAUCCUAUGUGCUCAUACAAACCCUAAUGCUUGGAUCUAGGUUUCUCUAUUGUACAUGCUUUGAAUCCAAGACUAUAAACCCUAAUUCUAGCAUACAAGUAAUCAUAUUAGAUAUUAGAAUGGGUUUAUAAUGUUACCUUGAUUGUUAUGUAGCAAUAACAAUCCCAAUUCCUCCUUGAAUUGACUUUGGAAGGCUUAGAGUCACAAGUGUCACUCCUCUAAUGGUUCACAAACACCAUAAGCAAGAGGAUGAAGAGGAGAGAGGAUGGAGGCUGCCCAAAACGUGUUCUAACCCUAGAAGAGAAGUUCCCCACGUUUUUGAGCCUUAAGGGUUCUAUAUAUAGUGAGGCUAUUAGGGUUAUCUAACAAGGAAACCCUAAUUUGGAUGCUUAAGCCCUAAGCAACCCAUGGAUCCCUUUCCUUAAGGCCUUGGACGAUUUCUUAUGGGCUUCCCCUUAGAAUUCGUCCAUUCCUUAAUACAAGGCAAUCCAUGGCCCAAAUUGCAAUUAUCUUAUAAUUACAAUUCCAGUCCCUUAAGUUUAAUUAAUCUCUUUUAGUCACAAAACUAAUUACCAAUUAAUUAUUGACUAAUAUUAAUUAAACAAUAUGAUUUCUCCUUUAAUAUAUUAUUCCCAUAAUAUAUUAAUAAAUCAUAUUUAAUCCUUACUCUCCAUAAUUCAUCCUAUCAAGUUGCUUUGGUGAAGGCAACCCAAAAGGACCAUGCACCAUCGGGUCAAGUACAUACCAAAAUAGUUAUGGACUUAGACACUAAUCCAACAAGUUCUAGAUGCGUAUUAAUUUAGUGUAUUCCGUAUCUCACUGCUCAAUCUACCCGAGCGUCGUAUGGUCAGUCCAAACAAUCUUAUCCAAAUCCACAAUGUCAAAUCCUCAGUGCCUACCAGCACAUUGAACACAUAGUCUAGAUAAUUCAGAUUCAGUCCCUUACAUUGGUUUUAGAUUGCCCGUUAUCACUUUCUUGAUAUCACUUCCCAAAUAAUGCCUACUAACGAAAAACUAUAAGAAAAUGAAAAAUUGUCUUUGAAAAUAAUCAGUUUAAGAUAAACUCAGGAGUAUAAAGAGCAAAACGCAAACCGUAAUUCACCUAUUGAAUUUGCAUCCAGAAGGUCUGAGAACAGCACGCAUAAUCUCAUAACAGAUCUGAAAAUUCAUGUCAUUAAGCACUAACCCCAUUUGUGAUCUCUUCAUUUCCUCUUUUCCCGCAAAAGGAUACAUACUCUCAAACAAAGGUUUGAAUGUUGUACAAUGGAGACAUGUCCACUAUCAUGUGCCUGGAACAGCCACUACCAACAAACCAAAGUCAUAGCUGCUCCGACGCAUAGCGGGAUCAGUUGGUCUUUGGUACACAGUCCAUUUUGAAACUGGGUCCACCUUUGUCAUCUACGCAAGAUACAUUCUCCCACGACAUGUCCUGUUUAUCACAAACAAAAGAUGUAGAAAUAUUAGAGUCAUUAGUUUAUUUGGGAGAUUGUCACACCCCAAACUGGAACGGCGGAAACGUUCGGGGGCGGAUGACUUCAUGUAGUAUCGUAACAGUUGAAUGCAUAGUAAAGAAAGCAAUAUAACCAUCAUAUAUAUAAUUGAAAGUUUAUAUUGUUGAAAGGUAAUGUUCAAAACCAAUUACAAUAUGAUGUCAAAAUAAGUUUAACCUGACGUCACAACGUCCCUUCUUCAAAAGUUGUUUGUUACCUGUAUUUACUGAAUCCCUGAGGAAUACAAGUAGUUUUGAAAGAGUAGAUCAGCAUUUAAGCUGGUGAGUUCAUAAGUAUUUAAUGACAAUGUUUGUAAGAACUAAAAUGAAAUGGUUUGUUCUUGUUUGUUUGUUCCUAAAAAAUCUCAUAUUUUCUACUAGUAUAAAUGUAGCCUUCUACCCAGACCAAUGUUAGUUUCUAGAAAUUCGAUGUUUUUCCCGUAGGUGGGUGGCAGUUUAGUAGUUUCAAAACUGUAACACAAUAAUGUUUUUUCAUGACUAGAAUAGUCGACUUAUGUACGUAUAAACUCACCAAGACAUUUGAAAACCCCGCAAAUCAAUGUGUUUUUAAUACUCCAUGUGAGUUUUAUAACCAUGCUAUUGACUAGGACGGCCUAUACACAACGUUCUUCAGGCGUUGAAAUGUUCUGACGUUUGUCACCCCAAAUGGUGUACUGUAGCUAACAGUCAGGGCGCGGGGUUUUCAAUCCCGUAUAGAUCUAUUCACAAACACCAUGCUCCCCCUACAAUGGAUUAUGGUAUAUAAUAUAGGACUUGAAAUGCGUACUCGAACGUACAUGAAGUUUAAUGUCUUACAAAACUUAGUAUAAAACAGAUUUACGUAUGAAAAUGUUCGUUUGUUCUUGUAUAUGAAAGUAUCUCCUUGAGAUAGUGUUUCUAGUAUGUAAAAGCUCAUGACGUUCUCGUAAAACUAUACCUAUUAUAGUUUUCCAAAAGUGUGUUUCGUUUGUAUAGUAAACCCUAGUGUAAUGCUCACUUGUUAUGAAAAGUAUAACUUUUGUAGUGCCAAAAUGGACACAUAUAUAUAAAGUAUAAACAAAGUGUUUGAUUUGUAUAUAUAACUACAUAUUUCAUUUCAAAAGACAAGAUGUUAUCGUGAUAUAUUUUGCAUACGAAAGUUUCCAUAUAGUAGUUAUAAAUCACAUAUGAUUCACUUGAUAAAAAGUGUAUAAUGAAACUUUAUGUAACACACGAUAAUAAACGUGUGUUUACUUGUAUCCCCCCUAAAAGCGUAUAAAAGCAUUUAUAAAACAUUUAAAAGUGUAGAUUAUAAGGGUAUGAACUCACCUGGUUGAUUUAAGAAAGUGAGAUGAAAAUCGAGCAGAACUUCGGCUUGUGAAAGUCGAUUUUCUCAGGAUUUUCGAGAAUCUCGGAAAUACAAAACCUUCCUUUGGGACUUGAACGCGAAAACUGGGGCUUUUGGAGGGUCUCGGGGGCUUAGAAGCAGAGUUUCAGCAUAAGAGAAGAGAGAAUUGAGCACUAGAACUCGAAACCAUCGGUUUCUAUUUAUAGGCUGAGUUUUGGGAAAUUCACGUCGUGAGCCCGACCAGGCCUAUUCCCUUAGACUUGAUGGGUCUUUGGCAAACUCUGAAACCCAUCAAUCCAAGACUCACGUCGUGAGCCUUCCUGCUCACCUCGUGAGGCACCUGACAACUUCGCUUUUCGUGUCUUAAACUUGUAAAAUCCGUAUCUUCCGCGUACGAGCUCCGUUUUUGACACUCUAUAUAUGAACACGUAGGUGAGAAUGUACUCUACAACUCUUGUUUAGACUCCGUCGGCUGGUUUUGACUUUAUUUUUAAUUAAUUAUUUUUAACAGGUCGGGACACGAAAAGUCCGUUUAAAACUUCAUAACUCCUUAGUCUGAUGUCCGUUUUCGUCAGACUUUUCACCGUUGCGCUACUAUUGUUAAGGCCUUCGAUUCUCAUUUAGGUUGUAUCGGCCAAAAAUCUCUCGAUCUCUAUUUCGAGUUUUUAGCUGUCUACUGCUAUACUCGAAUCUUGGAAAAAUCAUAACUUCCUCUUGCGAAGUCAGAUUUGGACGUUCUUUUUAUGUACGUUUAAGGUUUAAUGAUAUUUACAACUUUCAUUUAGAUACUUAAGGCUAAAAAAUAUUGUAUUGAAACUUCGUGUUUUGCGUUUAACUGUAUUGCCGGUUUUGUCGGAAAUCUUAGAAUGGUCAUAGCUUCUUCGUUAUAACUCGGAUUUUAGUGUUCUUAGUAUUUCUGUCAACCUUGACUCGAUAUCUAGCAUAGUAGGUAACCCAAUAGAGACCUUUGAACAUUUUAUUUUCGAAGUUAAUUUCAUUACAUCAAAAGAGGUUACAAUACUUGCCUUUCAGGUUAUUACAUAGAUUCGAAAUAUCGAGUUGUCACAGAGAUUGAGCUUUCAGAACCCAUUUGUAGCUGGGUUUAACCCAUUUCUUGUUGGAUCGGAUGGGUGCCUUGACACAUGAUUUUGAACUCAAACCCGAUCGCCAAGAUGACUUUGACCUAGCCGGUCUUGGUUUUGCUGGAGCAUCUCUUGGAUUGGACUUCUUGGAUGGCAUUCCCUUCUUGUUCUUGGGAGUUGGAUCCUUGGCCUUCUGCGCGUUCCAGUCACCAUGGUCUGAACGUGGCCUUGAGGGGUUUCUUUUGAAGUAUCUCCCUCUUGGUGCGUUCUGCCAACCUUGUGCAUAGUAGGGAACAUAUGCGCGAUUAGGACAAUUUCUGGCAAUGUGUCCAGGUGUUCCACAGUGAAAAAAUGUCCUUUUCUUCACUGUGAAGUUGUUUCUUCCUACCCCUGGUGUCGUAUCCUUACCUUGUCUCUUAUUGUUCCCACAAGCACAAUUACAAUAGGCACUCUGUUUCACUGGAAUUGGUGGCCUGUAUUUCUCAACAGCAGGUUGAUCAGAAGUAGCUGAGUUCAAAGCAACAUAUUCAGAGUUCUAGGAGACGUUGGUUUGUUCAAUGGUGUUCUCCUUGUUCUCAUCAUCUGCUACUUUACCUGCACAUGAAGUAGAUGUGCUAGGAACAAGAACAUCGAUAUUUUCAAACAAAUCAUCAAAUAUGUCAAAAAAAAUUAACUCAACAUGAUCCGGAGCAGAAGCAUCACAAGAUGUAUCAUUGACUUUAACAUCAAAAACAAAAAGACUUAUCAUUUGAUACAGAAACAACAGGUUCAGAAACAUUUUUAUUUUCAUAAGCAUAUCCUUCAACUUAUUUCUUUGAUUGAUUUAAGGAUUGAUCUCCAUGGGAAGUAGAAACAUUAGUAUUUUCAACAUUAAUAAUGCCUCCUGAAACAUAACCAACUGGUUUUCCAUAAACCAUGAAUGGUUCGUUGGCAAUCUCCUUUUUAGUUAAAGGGUGAUAUUGAUAUGUGUGAUUGAAAGGAGGAGUAACUUUAUCGUAUCCUAAACCCUUUUGCUGGUUAUCUUUAAACUGCAGACAAUGAUCUAUCAUGUUCGCAACUACUUCGCUUGACACAUCAAAUUUUCUGAAAUCAAAAUCUGCAGUUUCAAAUUUGUUUGUUAAUGUGUCAAGCUCAGUAUUUAACUCAUCAAGUUGUCUCAUGACAUAGUUAUAAUUUACAUAUUUAUUGCUAUAAUCUUCCUGAAGCUUCCUAAAGUCUUUGGUUUUUGCUUCUAAUUCAACCUUUAGGGGUUUGUGUCCUUUCCUGAGUUGAUAUCCUUCAUAUCUCAUAUCCUCAACUUCUCUUUUUGUAACGACCCAAAAUUUAAGACCAAAAAUUUCUUUUAAUAAUUCACUACUCAAAGUAAAAUCAUCAUUUCCAAAACAUAAUAUGAGUAUAAGUUUUCAAAACACAUGUUUAUUAUCAUAGUAAACAUUCCCAGGCUGUCUAAUCUAUGGUGUGUGUCAUGCGAUCACCCCGAGCUCUUCCCUCCGCUACCGGAAGUACCUGAAACCAAAAUUGAAAACUGUAAGCACGAAGCUUAGUGAGUUCCCCACCCUACCACAUACCAUGCAUAACCAUAUACUGCACAUACUGGGCCACGCCCAUUAUCUUGGGCCUCGCCCCCUACCUUGGGCCUCGCCCGCUUCAACGGCCCCGCCGCUCCAGGCCCCGCCUAGCUUCGAGCCCCGCUCGGAUACAUAUAUGUUUUACUUAGGCCUCGCCUGUCCCAGGGCCUCGCCCGCCAACAAAUAAUAACACAUAAACAUUUCACAACACAUAACUAACACAUGCAACUGGUUCUGUCCUAAGGCCUCGCCUAUCCUGGGCCUCGCUGUCACACCCCCGAACCAGACGGCGGAAACGUCCGAGGGCUAUCGUGACUCAUUGAAUACCAUCACAAUGCAUAUACAUGAAACAUAACAUUAUACAUCACCAACAUUUGGAAUGAUACAACUGGUAGCGUUUACAUUCAUUACAUUGUUUCAAAACAUUACAUUCCCAAAAAUGACUGUUUGAUACUACUUAAACCACAGCAAAACGUCAUAGAGUACAAUUCAUCCUUCACUUUAUCUGUUACCUGAGAAUACAAGUAUUUUGAAAAACGUCAACAUAUGAAAUGUUGGUGAGUUCAUAAGUAGUGUUUGAAAUCCAAUGUAUUGUUUGAAAACCAUCAGAAAAUCCGAUAUUUUCUAAUAAUAGAAUAGUGUAAAAAUAUGUGAAGAUCCGUGAGUAUGCUUGUUUGAAUUCUAUAGAUGUAAGCGUAAGAGUUGUGAAAUUCGACAGGUAAUUCAUAAUUGUACUUGUUGAAAACUCUAGGAAAACCCGACGUUUUCCUAUCACUUUGCUUUACUUAGUUUGUGUAUUGUUGUUUCGUUGCGUUAGAGGUAAUCGUUGAGCUCCGGAGGCAUUGAGAGUACAGUGGGUGGUGAAGUGUUGUGACGUGCGUUAAUGAAAACGUCCAAUCGACAACCUUACAAGCGAUCCCUUAGGCGUCACUCGUAAUUAUUCACACAACUCAAUCCUCCCGGACUUGUGUAGUCCCACGACCGGAGGGAAGAAGAGAAGGUGCGAAACCCUCGGUAUUUCCCCGCGUCGUUCAAGACUAUUGCAAUUGCGAAGGGCCCGAAGCCCAACCCGCAAUCGUGAGUUCCCGACUUUACUAGCAGCACUGAAGGACCCUUGGGGUCCAGCAACAUGUUUGCCAUUGAAAGUCCUUUUACGUUAUGUCGGAUCGGUAAAACCCAACACUUCGUAAGAUAGAGGUCUUCGGGCCUUAAGAUCAGGUCAUUGGGCUAGCUAGGCUCAACGAACAAGAUUUUACACUUUUGGGGCCCAAAGAUGGUGCGUAGACGUCUGUGCACACUCGCAUGUAUAGUGACUUCCCAAUCGUUAUUAGUUAUGAAUCGUAAUGUCGUAAUGUCAUAGUGUCGUCGUGUUAGUAGUUUCGGAUUUUUAUUGGUUCGAGACCGAACCAAUUCGUUUGACAACGACUUUUGGUAUUGUAAUGUAUUGUAUUUCGUCAAUAGUCGUGGUACCAUCAUUUGGUCAAAUUGCAUGUAUUGAACUAGCCUUGAGAAUUUUCUGUUUUCAGUCCCUCCUUGUUUGUAAAAUUUACUUUUUCAACCCCUUUAUUUCAAUACUUUACGGUUUGGUACUUAAAUCAAUUUUCUUGACAUUUUAAUACCAAAAAUUAUUGAAAUAAAUAUUUUCCAGCAUAUUUUUCAUAGAAAACAGCUUAAGCCCCUGAAAUUUCAGUUUUCUCGGUUAUAACCCAUCUUUUUCGCAAGUUUGACAAUUUUGGCCCAAAUUGUAAAAUUUUUGCAACUUUAGUCCCCUUUAAAUUUAAAAAGCAUUUUAAACCUUUGAAAAGGACUUGGAACACUUAUAGUCCACUGUUUUACAGAAAAAUACAGUUUUGGCCCUCCAAAACAGAAAAUUUCGCAUAAUGGGCCUCAUUGGGCCGAAAAUGUCAUCUUUAGCCCAUUAAGCUUGGAAUUUAUGUUUUUAACCCUCCAAAUAGUAUAUUUUCAGAAAAUACAUUAUGUAAACUGUUUUGACUCAUCUCACCCAUCAGAUUUCGAAAUAUUUCAUUUUAGGCCCUUUAACUUUGUAUUUUUAACAUUUAUGUCAAAAAAAUGUGUUUUUAGCCCAAGGUAUGUAUUGUUAAGCCACAUAGCUAUUUUUCUUGGCAUACUUUGUAUGUAGUAGUAUAUUUUAUGCUAGUAUAAGAUAUAUCUCGGUUUUUAGCAAGUUAUAAUUAGAUCUAGCAUCAAAAUCAUACAAAACAUACAUAUAAGCAUAGAAAUCACCCAAAACAUACACAUAAUGAUGGAUCUACACCUUUGCUUGUAUUCUCCCCCACAAAAACUUAUAAAAACCGAAAAUAAGGGGGUAUGAAACUCACCUUGGGUGUUGAUUCGGUUUUUGAAGAAAGAAUGGAAGAAAUGAAGUGAUUUUUGGCCUUUGCACUCCUUGAUGAAGUUUUCGAGUUUAUGGAGUUUUCUAGAGUGCAAGAUCACGAUUUUUGCAUGGAUUAGGAAGAGAUUUUUGAUAAAACAAGGAAUACAAGUCAUAGAUCCAAGCAAAACCUUACCUUAGAUGAUGAUUUUUGUGGAAGAACUUCCUUGAAUGCUUCCUAAAUCUCGAGAUUUUGGAUGGAGAAGAAGAAAGAAGCCUUGAGUGAUCUAGAGAGAAUGGGAUGGAUUUUGUGUGAGUGUGUGUGUGUUGUGUUCGGCCGAGAGUGAGAGGGAGGAGAGAAGAGAGUGAUUUUUGAAGUGACAUGCAUGGAAGAAUGAGAUGAUUUGCAUGGUUAUCCAAUAGAUAAUAAUGAUGUGGCACAACAAGUCAACUCUUCCAUCCUCUUGGGCUUGUGCAUUGGGCCGAGAUUUUUGGAAGGAAGAAAGGUUUUUGGGCUUUUUGCUCCUAAGCCCAAUAUUAGAGUUAGUUUGAGUGAUCAUUGACCUUAUAAGAUAAAAUUGUGAUUUUUAUGCUUUAUUAAGCUAGAUUAGGUUAAUCAUGGAUCAAAGCUUUUAAUUCAUUUCAUUCUAGGCCCAAAAUGACCCCAAAAUGUUGAAUUAAAUUAAUGUGGGUCCAAUUAGAGCCCAUUUAAGGGUUCUAAGCCCAUGAUAGUUAAAUUGGAAGCUUAUUGGUCCAUUUAGAUCCAAUAAGGAAGUCCUAGUCCCAAAAUGGACCAAAUCAAGAACUUCUAGGGUUUUCCAAUUGUUUGAUGUAGUGAAUUGGGGUUUAGUUUUCCAUUGAGUAAGCAUCAUACAUGCUCUUGAGUUUUUGAAUUCAACAUUUACUUGAGUAUAGUGAUUACAAGACAUAAAAUUUCUAGCUGUGACACUCGCCCAUGUCCUGCUACUGAUGAGUCAUGGGACCCCGUCCACGCUCCUAAUGGUAGUGAGGUACGGGCCUAGCCCACUCUCACUCGUGUUCUAGUUUGGGCCUCGCCCCUAUUCUGCUACUAAUGAGAUAUGGAACCCCAUCCACACUCUGAUAUUGGUGAGAUACGGGACCUCGCCCGCACUCACCUCCCUACCAGGCACAUACAUGUAUCACACAGACAACAAGUAUAAACUAUCAUAUAAACAAUUCUUUGGGCACCCGCCCGCUAUUACUGGACCUCGUCCUGAAAAUCAUACUAGCAUACUGUGCCUAGGGCUAACCCCCGGGUCUUCUACUCAUAACUACAUGGGCCGACAUUGUGGCCUUAGACCCAUUCACACAAAGGGAAAUUCACCUGCACUGGCUGAACUUGCUGAUGAUCUCACUAGCUGCUGCCCGACAACUCACAGAACUCCUGCUCCCCUUGCUCCCCGAACUACCAAUAUCAAUGCAACACUGAGUCUAACUGACCCCCGAAAGACAACCAAGUCAACCCAGGUCCAAGGUCAAGGUCCUGGUCAAAGUCAACCUUCCAAGUCAACCCUACUCGCCGAGUCACCCUACUGACUCGCCGAGUUCUAAAUGAUCCGAUUCCCUCUAUUCGCGACUCGACUCCGAGUCAGUCCAUGACUCGCCGAGUCUACCGAUUUCUGAGUCCUGACCUGUCCAACUCACUGAGUCUCCACCCGACUCACUGAUUCGAGUCUCAACUCAAAGGGUUUGGGGUUUCGCGACCUGACUCGCCGAGUCCAAGAACAGACUCGCCGAGUACAAGGCAAUCUUCAUACGACUCGACGAGUUGUUCAUCCCACUCGUCGAGUUUCUCCACAACUUCAUGCUACUCGCUGAGUCCACUCAAAGGACUCGUCGAGUCCCUUCAGUUCUCCUUACAUGCAGAGGACUUUUGAGUCAUGCAUGGACUCCAAGCUGUAGAUCUACCCUCCCCAAGCCUAUUCCACACGUAAAGUUGCAAACUUUAUGUGUAGAGAAGGAGAUCUAGGCAAAAUAUGCCAUAAACUAGGGUUUAAGGCCAAUGGGCUUCAAAAUCAAUUCAAGGGCUGAUACUUUACAGGGUUUUAGAUCAAAAUAAGCAUGGAUCUGAGGUAACAACCUCAUAUCUGAACCCCUAGCUCGAAAGGUCACUCAAAUGCCAUAAAUGCCCAAAUACACACAUAGAUCUAGGUGCAAGGAAGGGAAAAUAGCAGCUUGUUACCUCCAAGAUGAACACCACUGAAGUAGAUCUCGGAUCUACACCUCCUCCUUUGAAGCAACCCACUUGAUCUUCAAGUUCCUUUCCCCAAAGUUCCUUCCUCCAAGCUUUAUCUCUCAAAUAAUGGAAGCUCUUACGAAAUCAAGGGUGCACUGGUUCUCUAGGGUGAUAUGGGGGCUGAGGGAGGGACAUAACACCCUUUAAAUAGGGUACAACUCCCGGGAUUAGGGUUUUCCCCGUUCAGACCAGACUCGCCGAGUCACCUUGGCCGACUCGUCGAGUCGGUCGCUUACUCCUCGACCCGGAUCCCGCUCGGACUCGCCGACUCCCUCCUUGGACUCGCCGAGUCUACCCUUAAAAUUAGGGCUUUUCUUUCCUUUCUUGGCCUUCAAAACUUUGGGUGUUACACUUUUUAAUAAAUUAAUUUGUUCCCGAAGAAAUUUAAUCGUAGUUUCACAUGCUGGAGUACAUGAAACUUCAUUUAUCGGAAUGGAUUCGAAACUCUUUUUUUUUAAUUCUUUGACUAAAAACUCAAAAGUCAACCUUAAAAGUCAAAUUUAAAUAGUCAAACCGAAAAGCUAAAUUUGAAAAUUUGAAGGUUAAACGAGAAAGUCAAAGCUUAAAGUCAAAGGUCAAACUCGAAAGUCAAAAACAAAAUUUUAAGUAAAAAAAUCAAAAUUAAAAGUUAAAAUUUUGGAAGAAAAUAGAAUUUAAAAUUAAAAGAAAUUUGAAUUGUAGGUUAAAAGUGCAAAAAUUACGAAACUGAGUGCGAAUGAGAGUGUUUUUGAAUUAAAUCUGGAGGGAAUGGAACAAGUGUCUUGGUAGUUCAACUGGUAAGGCGCAAGGGAAAGGAGGCGGGUGAUUCGUGUUCGAUUAUUGGCAACCCCAAAAUCACUUCCGAUUUUUGCUGAUGUUGCGUGCGAGGAUGACUGCUGCGAAGCUUGCUGAACAUGCGAGGGCGAGGUGCAAGACCGAGGUGCGAACCGGAAAUGCUGCAGGACCGCAAACUCUGACCGUACACGUGCGAGCCGUAAACUCCUAGGGCCGUAUUGUCGGACCGUAAACUCCGGCUGUAAACUCCGAGGCCGUAAACUCUUCGCAGAUUACGGUGAAAAACAAACGUUUUUCACCCCUUUUUGCUCCAAAACAUGAUCAAAAACUCGUUUUUAUAAAAAACACAAGGAACAAACCCCCUUAAUUUGCCAAAAUCUAUCCACGAACGCAAAAAUCAUUCCAAAAUAAGAUCAAAUAAGCUCUAGAUUUGACAAAAUUGAUUAAUACAAUCCAAGCUCUGAUACCAAUUGUAAAUCCCCAACCUGCUUGUGUAUCAAUCAGAUCCAUUUGAUGGUGUGGAAUCCUAAUCAAACGAAUGGUGCCAGAUCAAACUAGAAGAGAAGGAGAAGAAGAAUAACUUGAAUCUACGAUGUAUUAAAGAUGAGAAUGAAGUUCCUUACAAUAGAUUCACACACUCUCUUAUUCUCUCUUGUUUCUCUCUUUAGAACACACCUUAGAAUACACACCCUUAAGAUCCUUUUUUUCUUACCCCCACAUGCACUCCUCACCCUAUAUAUAUGAGACAUGGGUCGUGAACAGGUUAAACCUGUUCACGACCGUAAACACAAUCGUAAACUCAUAAAACAUUACAAAAAAAUACAAUUGCCUAGAAAAGUAAAGUAUAAACCAUAAUUUUGACCCAACACAAGAACAACAAAUCAUCAUCUACAAGUUCAUAAUAAGAUUAAAUAACUCAAAUAUAAAAAACAUAUUUUCUUGUAAUAUUCUCCGCAUGCUUUCAUUAUUGAGAAGUUGUGCCACCGAAUAAUCCCCACCAACUAACUAUGAUUUUGAAACAAAGACAUAUUAUUAAUUAAUAAACAUCAAAAGUUUGGUCUAAAAUAAAAACGUAUUUUCUUCUAAUCCCAAUGUAUCUGUUGAGGUCUAAAAUAAUAAGUCUAAAAUAAUAAGUACCAACUAAAAACUGUGUGUAUUUUUCGGGAAAAAAAAUCAAGUUUAAAAAGAAAAAAAAAUUAAAGUAUAAGUUUUUUUUUGUUUGUUUUUUUUAAUAACCGAUAACAGAAACCAAAAAGUUAUUGUCAUUGUAACCCAACCAUCUUUCGUAUAUUAGUUUAAAUGGUCCCUCGUGACUAUUUUUUGCUUUUAAAGGGCUUAUACUUGUAAAUGACCGGUCAAUAUGAUACUUUAACCCACAAUUGAAGGUAAAACAAAUGCUUGACUUGCCAACUAAGCGGGUGACUCAGCAUCGACUUGGACUAGUGUACUUUUCUUCCACAUAAGCCUCCAGCUAACCUUGUUUAAUGCUUUCAUUAUUGCUACCAACCCACCAACCACCCUUAAAGGAAAAGGAAGCGUCGGGGGGAGGGGGACAUAAAGCAGCAUCACAAAUCAUUGGGGCUUAAUCGACACAAACUCGACAAGAAAUAAACGAGUUUGGAUAGGAUAUUUCAACCCAUUUAAAUAAAUGAGUUGACACGACACGACUUGAGAACUUCAACUCGAAUAUGACUCGAAGAUGACCUAUUUAUUUAUAUGCAAGUUUUGGGUCCUUUAAAUAAACUAGAACGAUAAAAUACCAAAACCAUAAGUAAAAGGAAAUGAUAUGCCAUAUUUAUACAUGUUUUUAGACAAUAUUUAUUUACAAUUUUAUUAUUAAUUUGGUUAUUUUCAUGGAAUAAUGGUACUUAUAAGCUUAAAUUAUAUUUUGUAGCCAACUAAAAGCAUUUUCGAAGAAAGGGACUAAAAUUGAAAAAACAUGAAACUUUGAAGACUUGGAGAAUAAAGAAAGAAGAAACCCACGAAAUCAGCUAUAUUCACGACGUGAACCCCAACCUCACGAUGUGGCAUGAAGACUCUGGAAGAUAAGUACACACAAAGUAAUAAUCCGUGCCCGAUAAGGAUUUCUCCUAAUUUACGUCGUGAAGUAUCCAUUCACGACGUGAAGCACAAAUUUCGAGAUAACUAUACUUGAGGGACUUUUGGCUGAUUGAAGAAGUUCCAUGAGAUGAUUUUCAGAAUAGGAGAAGGCCUGGAAUAGGGUUUCAACACCAAAGGAGAAGAUAGUUCAUAAUUAGUUUAAUCGUUUGGUACUUUAAUCAUGUCUAUAACUUUGAUUUGUUUUAGUUUGAUUUUGAGUAUGAGUAGUUGAAUUUAGUUACUCCUGUUUAGCUAGAUGAAACCUCAACUUAUGGUUUAGUUAAUUUAUUAUGGAUUUGAUUAGUUGGUAUUGUGCUUGUGUUUGAUUGUUAAUACCUAGCAUACUAAUAUUUGAUUCUUUAGUUGCUUGAAUUCGUGUUCUGUGUAGCUUAGUGAUUAUUAAAUUACAUGAACUUGACACCUAGUGGUUUAGUGAACAUUAAAUUGCUAGAGCUAGGAUCGACCAAAUCUUAGGUAAGUAAUUGAAGUAAUUAAAUUUAGCUGUGUUGGAGAGCAUAAAUUUUGACCAUAAUUACGUUUGCAUAAUGAAUCUUACAUAGCCUAUUCAUAAUCAUAACUAAUUAUGUAUUUGAUUGUGUGUGACCAUGCAUAGUUUUACAUGAAUGAGUUAAAUAUUGGUAAAUUUAUACUUAAAUUACUAAUAUAAUAUAAAAUUAGAUAACCAACUUUAAUAAUCCAUAAUUGUUAGCUAACCAGAAAAAGGAAGUUGAUUCAAACUAAACGGGAGUAUUUUUAGUAAUUGAUCGAAUUUAGUGCUAAGAGAAUUAAGUUCAUCUAAACUUGAAAAAUUAGAUAAAACCUCAUCUUUGUUAGAAAAUUAGGUUAAUUUAAUAGUAGAUAGAUUAAUCAGUCAAAACCGUUCCCUGUGAUCGAUACCCGACUUACCCAACUAUUCUAUAAUUUGACUAGGUACACUGCCUAGGUGCAAUUUAGUUAGUUAAGUUAGUUAGGUUACAAAUAUAAAAUUAGGUGUAGCUAUUUUCAUGCAUCAGGAAACAUUUUGAUCGAUUCGUUUUGUAAUUUUGAAAAGAUUUAGCGUCCAGAUCAGUGCUUCAUUUUUUAGUUUUUUCGUUCUCUCCCAAACUACACAGUCCCUGUAACCACUCUCUUAUCCUCAUGAUCUUGUCUUCUGCCUCCCCAACUCCUACUCUUCCCAUUUUGUCAUCUAAACUUGUUAUAACUUUAUUUAUUUUGCCUUAACUACUACUUUUUUUUUUCUUUCCAUCUGCAUAACUCAUAUUCUUUCAACAUGUUCAAUGUUUCAACCUCACAUGACACAACAUAUUUCAAGGUAUAAGCCUAACACAAAACCUGAGACAAACUCGACACAAAAAUAAAUGGGUUGACACGACACAACAUGUUAAUUAUACUGGUCAGGUUAGGGUCAAGCACUUUCAAUCUGUUUAGAGUUUCGACACGACACAAACCCACACAACAUGACAUGAUUGCCACCUAUACUUACGUGACACAACCCAUGUCACAAGUGCAUGUCACCCAUUUUAUGUAUAAUUUUGCUAUAAUCUUUGUAACUUCUUCCAUAGACCUCCAUUGGACACCAAACUUUACCAUCUAAGCAUAAAGUUUAUUAACUUCUCUAAUCAAUCAAGUACUUUCUUCAUUAUGACUUAAUCAUUAAGACCUUUAGAUGUCAUAAGAGCUAUAAGAAAGCAUAAAUGACAUCUAAGCAUUCUAGUUAUCUAUUGAUCUAUUAAUGACUAAGGUUCUCAUCAAACAUCAUUCUAAACCACUUAGAAGUAUUAAUUAUCAUCAUAGAGAUCUUCAUUGACAUUAAAGUAAUCAAAUCCAUGUAUUCCAAGGGUUAGAAUUGAUGAUUCCAUAGUUAAAAAUCAUUGAAACGCUUGAUAACUUUACUUCAAAUUCCUUUAAAUAGUUUUGAUAAAUCAAGCAUAAAUACUCCAAACACAUAAUUCAUGAACUAUGGCUUCAAUUAUUGAAAAUCCUCAUACUAAUCCUCAUUGAAGUCUUAUUCAAAACUCUCAUGGAUCUUCAUUGGAAUCAUGAUUCUAAAUCCAUGUUCAAAUGAUUGAUUUAAUUACAUAAAAUUGUUAUGGAUUUAUAUUGAGAGUUGACUCUAGACAAAAGAUUCACAAACCCCAUCAUCCAAACACUUGGUGAUUAAAUUGUGACAUCGCCAUUUUCACGGCUAGAAAAGACCGAUUUUGUAUAUGCUUUAUAAAAAUCAGAGUACUUCUUUUAAUAAAAAUUUUGCGGAAUUUGUUCACAUAAAAACAUGAUAAAUAUGUUAUCAAAGCAUUUCUGAAGAAAUUUAUUUUUUAUUCAUUUUCAAAACCUUGGGAUGUCAUCGACAAUACAUAAACAUAAGCAUAAACAGAACUUACGUUCAUAUCGACACCUGUGAUACAAAUAAGCUUGAUUGGGUCAGGUUGGGAAACCUGGUGAGUACAUAGGGUUUCAACCAAUAAUAAUACAAUUAUUAUAUUUAAACAUCAAACAAUCAACCCAAUUACUCAUCCCCAUUAUCUUCUUUACUCUUAAGGAUCUACCCUAAGAAUCAACUAUUCCUCGUUCAUUCAUUCCUAAGGAUUAUCCUAAGGAAUAGGCACGAAGUCCAUCGUUGCCAAUGACACAACUAUCAAGCAUAACUGCUAAUAUUAUCAUUUAGGUGCAGCUGCUAGAAUUGUGACAUUCUCUAUGAGGCGCAGCUAUCAGUAUUGUCCUUUAGGCGCAACUGCCAUGGUUAUGAUGUUCUCCAUUAGGCGCAACUGAUGAUACUAUCCUUAGAGCGCAACUGCUAGGAUUUUUAGAGUACAUCGUACAUCAAAAACGUCUACAGGUUGUGGCGCAGCUGCCAAUGCUCAUCUAUAGGUACUAAGUCCAUUACUACCAAUGUUCACCUAUAGGGUACUAUGUCCAUACUGCUAAUGUUCCUAUAUAUCAACUUUCAUCAUUCAUCUACCCAUGUGUUUACCCAACAUAUUUUGUAGAUAUAAAUACAUAUACAAUGUAAAUCAUUUAAAACAUGUAUAAAAUCGUUCAUCCAACAUAGAUAGCAAGUAUACAGAUAAUAUGCACAUAUAACACGUAAUUUAUAUAAAAUACUUCAUAUGUAUGUGUAAGAUGAAAGUAACUAUGCAGUCACCUGAUAAGGUGGUGACUCAGUACUCGGACAACACUCCGUUUACUUAAAACAACUUCCUUUGACAAAACCUAGUAUCAUUACCACUAGAGUUUAGUCUAAUGUUCGACGAGACUAAUUAAUAGUCUUGGUAUUAUUACUAUUAUAUAAGCGUUAAAACAAUACUCUUCUCCCACUAUGUACAGGCAGGGGUCAGACAUGAAACACCGAAGGGUAGGACCAUUUUGGCAUAUAACACUUCUGAAAUCCAACAACCCAAGCGGCCUUUCAAACCAGAUUCCCCGUACCGUGAGUGGUUAAAAAGAUAUUAUAACGACACUUAUAUAACUAAUAAUAAUAGCCAAAAUAUUUAUUAUAAGGUCCUAAUAACAUUACUAUAUUUAAACAAAAGCUUUACUUAAGGUAGGGUAAACGUAUCUCACUUACAAGGGGGUUUGGCUAGGAGCCGGGCUCUGCAGUGGCAGAACUUUCGAGCCGAAAGCUCUUCUUCUCGGAGCCUUCCGGCACUCCGGGACUCGCCUUUAGCACUUAGACGUUGCUAGGGAAGGGAAGAGAGGUUUGGGGUAAUGGGAGAAAAAGAAUGGUUUUGGUGUGAGUUUUGGGGGUGAUUUACGCCUCUAUUUAUAGGCUGUCUGGGUCGAUUCAUGUCGUGAGAAAGGGUGCUCACUUCGUGAGCCUUACGUAGGCUCCAAGGCGAAGUCCGGUGCUGACACGUGGUGCCGGACGUAGGUAAAACAACCAAUCUUUAAAAUUCAUAACUUUCGCAUACAAACUCCAUUUUUGACAUUCUUUAUAUCCACGCGUAGAUAAAGACAAAAUCUACACAUUUCCUUUUGACUACGUCGACUAAUUCUUGACCAAUUUUAAAGUUGACAGUAUGAGAAGAUUAUACUGUUAAAUGACUGUGUAAAAUUCAUAACUUCUAUAUACAGACUCCGUUUUUGUCUGUAUUUUUAUCGUUGAGUUCCUAUUAAUGAGAUCUUAAAUUCUCAUUCAGGUUGCGUUGGCUAAAAAUCGAUCGAUCUAAAAUUCGAAUUUCGGGCUGUGCACUGCUAUGCCAAAUCUUAGAAAAAUUAUAACUUCCUCAUAUGAAGUCAAAUUUGGGCGUUCUUUUUAUGCACGCUCUUGUUUUAACGUAUACUACAACUUUCAUUUAGAUCAAUAAGGCUAAAAAGUCCUCUAUCGUAAAUUCAAUAUUUACUUCACACAGCAUCGUGUUGGUUUUGUCGCGAAACUUCGACGAACCAUAACUUCUUCGUUAUAACUCGGAUUUUGGUGUUCUUUAUAUAUAUGGAACCCUUGUAACAUGUACUAUAGCUUGGUUAAGAUUACUCCUUCUAACUAAUCUACCAUCAAAAACUCAUUUUUGAUGCUCAUUGUCUCUAAAUUGACUAGCCCGAAUCUGCGGGCGUUACAUAAAUCUAAUUCUACAACUAUUGGCUAGAUUACAACUCAUCAUUGCCAAGGUAUAAACCAUACAUGAACCUAGAAUUUGAAUCACCUAUUUCCACCAUUUUUUGAUGAACUGCAAUCAUUUAAGGAUGAAUUAGCAAUCGUAUGGUGUUUCUAGAGUGUAAUUCAAACAUCCAAAACCCAGUUAAACUAAUAUCUAGAGAAUUUCCACCAUUAAUGGAGCUUGAAGCUCAAAAUAUCAACCAAAGCUUCAUCAAAAACAAAUUGGAUGUGAUUAGAUUGGGAGUUCUAAUAUCAAAACCAUCAAUGAAUUCAACAUCUAUCAAUAAUCUAAUUACCAUUUUCAGAUGUUGGCUUCAACCCAAACCCUAGGUUUGAUUUCUAGAGAAAUUGGAGAAGGUUAUACCUCAAUUCACUAAUGAACAUGUUUUACUUUGAAUGUGAACUCCUUCUCUUCAAUUACAAGCCCUAGAUCUCUAUCAAAUAAAGGAGAAGACCGAAUAACUAGCUUUUAGUUUUCAAUAUUUAGCAUAUUUUGUCAUACACUUUCAUAUAUCUCAUAUAUGACACCAUUUGACUAAAUAUUUUAAAUGAACUUCGAUCAGUUAUUUACUUAUACCACUAAAACACAUUUGUUUUUUCAUAAAGACCAUGACUAGUCAACACUUGGUAAAAUAGUUUCCAAGUUAGAAAAACUAGUCCCUCUACUUUAAACUAUAACUCGACUAGUAUAAAGGUCAUCUUGUGGCUCAUGGAUUUUCUCAGCCUUCACUUUGAUGACACCUUUAGUAUUGUUGUCGAACAUAUGGUAAUUGCCACCAUCCUAAGCGUUAUGAUAUCUAAAAAUUAGCCCAUCAACCAGUUAGGUGUCAAAAAUGCUUUGUUGCAUGGUGAUUUGUUUGAGGAAGUUUCCAUGAAACAACCUCUUGGAUAUGUUCAUCAUACUCUUUUGAAUCGUAUAUGUCUCCACGAAAGGCUAUAUAUGGCUUUAAGAAGGCACCCCGUUCUUGCUACCAAAGUUUUGUUAUCUUCAUCAUCUCUUUUGGUUUUAGAAACAAUCGUUCUGACUGUUCUCUUUCCGCUUAUCACUCCGGCUCUAGGCAUAUCUGACUGUUCUAUUUCCGCUUAUCACUUCCGCUCUAGGCAUAUCUAUCUUCUCCUUUAUGUUGAUGAUAUCAUCGUCACUACCUCCUCAUCCCCCUCUUUCAUCUCCCGUGUCAUUACUCGCUUAUCUUCAGAGUUUCCCCUAACAUGUUUAGGCUCUAUUUCAUUCUUUCUUGGAAUUGUUGCCUCACAGACUGAUAAUNNNNNNNNNUAUAUAUAUAUAUAUAUAUAUAUAUAUAUAUAUUUAUCUCAAACGUUCUUUGCCAAGGAAAUUAUUUCUCGCGCUCACAUGUUCUUAUGCAAUCCGUGUCUUACUCCUUCAGACAGUUCCCAAAGGUCCUUAUGUUGCUUAUCUCACACCUUACCAAAGCCAUGAAGGUGUUUUGUAGUAUCUAAGUUUCACUCAUCCUGAUAUUCCUUAUAAUGUUUAACAAAUCCGCUUAUAUAUAUGCAUGAUCCACAUGAACCUCGUCUUCUUAGAUCUCAAGCGGAUCCUUCGGUACAUAUGAUGUUGAUUGGGCUGAUCGUCCUCACAAUUGUAUGUUCACCUCUAGGUUAUGUGUUUAUCUUGGCAAUAAUCUCAUAUCGUGGUCUUCCAAAUGUCAGCAUGUUGUCUCUUGAUCCUCUGCUAAGCUGAGUACCGCUGGUGGCCAAUGUGGUUACCCAAUCUGCUUGGCUUCACAAUCUCCUUCUUGAGUUAUCUUGUCCAUUAGAAAGCAAUGGUUGUGUUUUACAACAAUAUGAGUGCCAUGUAUUUAGUUUCUAACCUUAUACACCAUCAACGUACCAAGCAUGUUAAAAUAGAUUUACAUUUUGUUUGGGAAUGUGUUGCCAUUGGACAUAUGCAUGUCUUGCAUGUGCUAUCAACUCACCGGUUUGUGGAUAUAUUCACAAAGGAUCUUCAUACCUGAUUGCUUUUAAAUUUUCAGCUUUAAACAUUUGUAAACUCCAUGUGCAAAAUAAAGGUAUGUGUUAAAUCAUGUCAUUUAUGACCUUUUGUGUAGUAUAGGGACCCCUUUUGUAACUUUUUAUACUACAUAUAUCAUGCCAUACAAGUGUACAACUCCCUCACUAAGGAGGCUUUUUCCACAUUUAAUAUUUGUUACUGGCUACUAAUAACAAGUCAUAGUAUGGUGUCAUAUGAUUAAAACAACCAUAAUCAACCAUCAAUCUGUUACCCGAUGAUGAUGAGAAGUCAUGAGCACUCAUUGAACGUGUCGUGAGUUGUUGGAUUGAUUCUUGAUUUCUUUGUAAAAAUUUCAUUGGGUUAGAAGUGUUUGUCACAUCAAAAAUGGGUGGCAUGCACUUGCCAUUAAAAGUCUAGAGGAGUUGUAUUAACUCUUGAUUUAUUCGAAGUAAUUCCAUAAGAUUGGAGGUGUUUGGCGCAUUAACAAACAGACGUGGGACGUGUUUGAAAUGAUAUGCUCAUGAUGUAAUUUUAAUGAAAAAUUGUACUAGAUGAAACGUUGAUACGGUGGAGCGAUAUGUAGAAUUGAUUGAUCUCUGAUUGUAUUAAAUUGAAGAAGAAAGCAUAUACAUCCCAUGACAAGAUACAAUAAUAUAAACCUAAUUAAUUAUGAAUAAAUAUAGAAGCUACCAAUACUUAUGGAUAGAUGCCAAAGUAACCCUGAAGUAUAUGGAAUUGCUGAAACGUACACUAACAGAAUGGAGGACAGAAGAAAGAGGUACUACAUGAAAGUAAGGCUCUGUAUCAUAUAUCCUGCCAAUUUAUUAAUCUCAGACUGAAAAUUAAAAACAAAAUUAUAAUAUUCACAGUAUACCUUUCCCUUUUUACUUCUUGCCAAACUAAUCCUUAAAUAUUAAGUUGUAUAUUGUGAAAAUGAUAAUGUAUUUGAUGUGAAGUUUCAGUCUCUAUAACAGGGUAAUUUCAUUUAAGGCAAGAGGAAACUGAUUGUUUCAUGUGUAGUCAGACUAUUCAUAGAUGAAAUGAUGAAGAAAAUUCAAGGCAAGGAGAAAUCGACGGGCCCAACUUCUAUUUCAUAGGAAAAAUACAAUAUGAAAGAAAUAAAACCUUGAAACUAAUUGAUGAAAUCAUAAGAAAGUUUCUGCUUAUUUCUAGUUGAUGGUAAUACACACCUCCUCCAGUGCCCCAUCCUUACCACACCAGCCUCAGGGGUCUGAAAAUUUGUUAUUUCAAAAGUCAUGAAAGGGUUGCAUUUCAGGGAAUAUUUCCCUGAAACAUCAUAGAAGAUAACCUCAUGAACAGUAAAAAAAACAUGACUCCUUAUGUGUGGCAAUAUGUAACGUCUAAAUAUGUCUGACCUAGAGCCUCUUGCUAGAAAAUUUAAGUACAAAUUACAUAACUUUUUGCAAACCUUUACCAAGAAAUUAUAGUGGUGUUUUCUUUGUUACCAGAAAAAUAUACAACUUACAUACUAAUGGAAAUCUCAUUUUUUUGUAUAUAUAUAGUGAUCAGUUCCCUUCAAGACAAAAUCAAGAAUCUACUUUAGGAUUUUUGGUUACUGAUACCUUUCUUAUUUGAAUUUCUUUUAAGGAUCCAGUUGGGUUAUGACUGCCACCGGUAAGUUUUGUCUUUUGGUUCGUUAGUUAACAUUUUACUUUUGCUUUAUGCUUGUUUCUUCUUCCAUGUCUUACAAAGUGGGUAUGCUUAUAAAAUGCUUGUUGGACAUCAACUUUUGCACUAAAUAUACCAUGGUCUCCUACUCCUCCAUCAACAUCAAACUUGUAGCUUGCUUUCUUAUCUUUUUAUCUUAUUUUCGUUUUACAGGUUUGAACAUGCUUGAACAUCAGAUGAAAUUUCAGGUGAUACCAAAUGAUGUUAAAAGGACAUGGAAUGAGCACGUCCUACAAGUAUUGGUUCCCACCAGCCUUAUUUUGCAGAUCAUCUUAAGUAUUUUAGGAAACCUUCGGAAAUACAAUCCAAAGACUAUAAUCAGAAUCACUCUUUGGUGUGUUUACUUUUUGGCUUACGCCAUUGUCCCAGUGGCCCUUAGUAUUACUGCCCAAAGUGCCUUGGAAUCAUGCAACAAAUCUCAUCCUGCUUCAAAACAUCAUAGAUCCAACACACGUGAGCUCAUGGGUUUUUGGGCACAGUUUCUCUUUCUUCACCUUGGUGGUGCAGACACCAUUACUGCUUACUCCUUGGAAGACAACGAUCUUUGGUUAAGACAUUUGGUUUUUCUUCUCUUCCAAUCAGGAGUAGCUUUAUAUAUCCUUUUGUUGUCUUGGCCAGGUUGUUCUCAUCUCCCCCUGCUAAGCAUACUCGUUUAUGCAUCCGGUUGCAUCAAGUGUUUUGAACGUGUUCAGGCUCUAAGGUUUGCAAACACUGAGCAUCUCAGAGAGACAAUGCUUGGUCCUGCUGACCCGGGUCCUGAUUAUGUCAAAUUCCUGGAGGAAUUUCUGUUGAAAAAGUCACAGGGUUUCAUUGUGAAGGUUGAGGAGGUUUUGGAGAAUGCUCUUCCAACUAUUCGUGCAUAUUCCCAAACUGGGCGUGAAGAAAUAUUCGAAGCAUACAAUCUAUUCCAAACAUUCAAGCGUCUUUUUGUUGGUCUUAUACUCACAUAUGAAGAUAGUGAUAGAAGCACAUCGUAUUUCCGUCAUCUUGAUAAAUCUGAUAAAGUUUUCCAUGCUGUGGAGAUUGAACUUGGAUUUGUAUAUGACAUGCUUUACACAAAGGCAAGUGUGCUUUAUACAAAUAAGGGCCUCAUACUUCGUGCUAUUGGUGUUCUUCUCCUUCUCUUAGUACUUGUUGGCUUCCAUUUUCACAGUGAUACGGACCAUUACCUAGUCAUUGACAUUGUCAUUACUUAUUUAGUAAUUGCAGCAGAAUUUUUAAAAGAAAUCUUUUCCUAUAUUACCAUGUUCCAUUCAGAUUGGGCUGAUAUCUGGUUUAAACAGCAGAACCACACUCACGACAACCUUAUAUUUUCAUUCUUGAAGCAACCGAGUAAACAAAGGUGGUCCAACUCCAUUGGACAGUCAAAUCUUCUAAGUGUCGCACUCAAGGAGAACCCUACUUGUUUUCUAAAUCAGAAAUUGUUCGGGGUGCAUAAGUUUCUGAAGAAGCAAAGAUACGAGACAUAUAUCGAGGUUUCUCCCAAUCUGAAGGAUAUGAUUUACAGUCAGUUUCUUGAGUUUGUGGAGCGUAGUUCUGAUCCAAAAGGAUUAUGCAUUCACAAAGGAAGCUAUUGUCUCCAAGAGAAUGGGAUGAGAACUCUUUUGUGGAGCAUCAAUGAAGUGGAAUUCGAUCAGAGCAUUCUUAUCUGGCACAUCGCUACUGCUCUUUGUUACUACUCUGAGAGUAGUGAUCAAUUAGAAAUCAACCGCAUCGAAAGUAAGAACAUGUCUGAGUAUCUGGUGAAUCUUUUAAUUUCAAACCCUGAAAUUCUGCCAAUAGGUAUCGGCAUGAUCAGGUAUCGUGACACAUGUGCUGAAGCCAUUCGUUUCUUCAAAAUGAAAAGCCCUAUUACCGAAAUAUCUGAUGCCUGCAGAAAGUUACUUGAAGUUAGUUGUGAGGAAUUGUUGCCUAGUAUAGUGAAAGGGGAUCAAUCCAAAUCUGUACUCUUUGAUGGUUGUAGACUUGCAUUAGCUUUGAGAAAGAUGAAAAACAGGGAGAUAAUGUGGAAAGUGAUGAGUCAAGUAUGGAUCGAGAUUCUGGCUUAUGCAGCUGCUCACUGCAGAGUGUUCCACCAUUCACAGCAGCUUGGGAGAGGGGGAGAAUUUCUGACUCAUGUUUGGCUUUUGAUGGCACACUUAGGAAUGACAGAGCAUUUCCAGGUAACUCAUGGCCAUGCAAGAGCUAGGUUCAAUGUUUCAUAGGCAUAGCUUGGGAUUAGCAUUUCAUUUGCUUUAAUACUUAUGUAGAUUAACCAUUCUAUUUGUUUGUUUUCUAUUUUCGUAAUUGAAAAAGUUGUGCCUUUCUGCCUAAGUUGGCACACAUUCACUGUCUGUACAUUAAUUAUCCAAUUUUCAUAUUUUUUUGUUCAAAAUUUUAUUGUAUAAUAAUAAUGUUCUUUCAGAAAUUUUUACUCUUGGGUUUCUAAAUAUGUCUUGCGUAAGUGAAAAAGUCAUGAAUGUGUAAUGUUAUAGUGGGUGAUACUGGUUCAAUCUUUUCAAAGUUAUAUCUAGGAAUAUAGUUCAUGUACAACACCUUUCCAAUUUCAUUUUUGCAAAGAGACUGUUUUAUGACUCAAGGAGAGAGCAAUUUCACACAUAAUUAGCUGUAACAAUGUAAGUAAGUGAGGUGAAAAUCUAACACCCAAUAUUAGAGCCCACACUAGGUGGACCUUCACCGGGUGUGUGUAGUGUGUGCUCUACUGCUCUAGAGACCAUGUUUCAGAUACUGACCAACCUCAAUACUGCUCUACUAUGUUAGUUACUACUUAGGGAAAAUGAAUUAAAAGCCCAAUGAAGUUUCCAAACCAUUCAAACAACCUCAAUCAUGUUUUGUAUUAAAAAAAACCCAACGAACUUAACUUUUUGUCUAAAAAAUCCAACAAAGUUCCAAACAGUUCAAAAAAUCCCAAUUUUGUUUUGUUUAAAUUCGUUGGAUUUUUUUUGAACAGUCAAAACAUGAUUGGAGUUCUUUAAACGUUUUGGAAACUUCGUUGGUCUAACAAGUCAUUUUCCCCAUACAGUAAUAAGCUAUGCCAUAUGUUUCUCUUAUUUGACUUUCAGGAAAGUGUAACUUAGUUAAGCUUUUUAGACAAAAGGUUAAGUUUGUUGGGUUUUUUUGAACAGACAAAACAUGAUUGAGUUUCUUUUGAACGGUUUAGAAACUUCAUUGGGCUCGUAAGUCAUUUUCCCUACUACUUAUGAUCAACAUGAUUGUCUUAUCGUUCCAUUUUUUACGACUUGUAAGUUGUAACACACUUGAUAUAUUGUUGAAAACAUGCAUCAAAUUUUGUGUGAUCAACCAUUGAAAUAUUUGGUGGGACAGGUGUAAGGUAAAAAGGGUUGUUGAAUUAGAAGUUGGAUGCAGAGUAUAUGUUUAUGGAUUUUCAAGCUUCUUAAUUAAAAAUUUUAAAAGCUUGUAAAAGUGCACUUAACUUACUGUUUGAAGUCUAAAUUGCAUAACAUGUUCGAUUAGCUCCAGACCUCCAGUAUAUAUUGUAUCGGUUCAUUGAGUUGCCAUCUGGACAGAAUAAAACCUGAGUCAUGUUUCAAGAGUCACAGAAAUUAACCAGUACUUGUAAAAUUAAGAAUAAUGUCUUUUGGGCUUUUCUACUCAAUUCUUUAAAAGCCACAGGCUCUUGAUGCACUAGGGUCACAAUUUUACUACAAGUAAACAAUGAAGAGAACAAAAGAAAGGGAACUUGUGGUGGAUGCAAGUAAAAAACAACUCUAAACCUAUUCUGAAAAUAAGUAACUGAAACGAAACACAGAGUGACUUGAAAUCAAACCUGAAGAUUGAAUUUUGUUUGGAUCAAAAGUAGUUGGCUAUCAUGCUUAUACUCAACAUUAAGACCAGACUAACAGGUGUAUCGUGAUAUAGAGCAGUGGGUGAUUGAUGCCUUAAAAGGCUUAAACUAAACCAGAUGGGUUCGAGAAAACUAUAUCGAUUAUUUUUUUGCUCUCGGUCUGCCUAAACAAGCAGAUAACCGAAAUUCCGCACAUGGGGGGAUACCGGGAUGCUACUAUUCAUGAACGCCGGAAAGCUGAAGUCUACCAUUUAGACAAGAAAACGGUAAAAAAAAACUAGAAAACGGGUGAACAGAAACACUGAAGCAUGAGCUUACAAACCGAAGGUAGCACGGUGUAGAUAAAGAGUUGAUAACUCACAGUUAUGCAGAGGCAAUCUCUGGAUGAACCAUGGGAAGCUGAAACCAUGAAUUAUGAACGUUCGUUUAUACUUCAAGAUGAUAAUAUCUACAACUGUAUUAUAUAGAAAACAACGAAAAAUCAAGCGUUUUUGUCUUUAUGCAUAUAAUACCAAGUCGUGGUUGACCCAAGUCAAGUUUAUCAUUGCUAAUAGUCUAGUCUUUUGAAGCUUUCCGUUAGCUUUCAUCCACCAGGAAAGC
rnacentral:lncRNA from 1 species